rnacentral:lncRNA from 1 species
AUCUCAUGAUUCUAUACUUGGGUGAGAACUAUUUCGAGGGUCACAUUCCAGCUUCCCUAGGAAAUCCUCCAGGUCUACGAGAGAUAGAUCUCUCAACGAAUUAUUUCACCGGCCAAAUCCCAAAUUCUUUGGGAAACCUUUCACUGCUGUCUUCUCUGAACCUUGAUCAAAACAUGCUUCAAUCAACAGACAAUGAAGGUUGGGAAUUCAUCCAUGCCCUGGGAAAGUGUAGAUCUCUAAAAAGACUUUCAUUGUCUAUUAAUAGGCUACAGGGAGCCAUACCAAAUUCUAUUGCAAACCUGUCCAGCACUCUUACAUAUCUGCUAAUGUCUGAAAACAGUCUAUCAGGAACAGUUCCCCCACGUAUUGGAAAAUUUAGUUCCUUAAUUCAACUAUCACUAGAUCAAAACAAUCUUACCGGUACAAUUGAAGAAUGGGUCGGAAAUAUGACAAAACUAGAACGUUUGAAUCUCCAAUCAAACAGCUUUGUCGGGAUAAUUCCACCUUCCAUUGGCCAACUUAUACGGUUGAAAUAUUUAUUUCUUGAUGAAAAUCAAUUCACUGGGUUUAUACCACCUAGCUUUGGAAACCUUAAAUCAUUGUUGCAGCUGCACCUUAGCUACAACAAUUUCAAAGGGGGCGUACCAUAGAGUUUUUGGAAAUCUUAUGAAUCUCAUACAUUUGGACCUUAGUAAUAACAAUCUACAAGGUGGGAUACCCUAGGAGAUUGGUAACCAAAAACAACUUGACAUCCUCCUCCUGUCAUCAAAUAAACGAACUGGAGAAUUUCCAGCUACUUUAGGCCAAUAUCCAGUCUUCACUAACCAUCAAAUGGACCUUGCAUGGAAACACUAAAUCAUUCCCAUAACAACUUGUCAGGUCACAACCCUUUGGCUCUAAGUGAUCUACAGUUUCUUAGUGUGCUAGACCUUUCAUAUAAUCAUCUCGAAGAAGUACCAAGAAAGGGAGUAUUUGAAAAUGCUAUAGCUGUUUAUCUUGACAGCAAUUGUGGACUUUGUGGAGGAGCAAAGGAUCUCCAUAUGCCUUUGUGCCAUAUUGAUUCACCAAGAACAGAGAAUCGGUACUAUUUGGUCAAAGCAUUGAUACCACUGUUUUCCUUCAUGUCAACCCUACUGUUGAUUUACUUCAGAAGAAGGGAUCAAGAAGGGCAUAUUUAUGGCUGCCAACCUUUGGGAAAAAAAUUCCCUAAUGUUUCUUACAGGAGUCUAGCUCAGGACACAGGGAACUUCUCUGAGUCUAACUUGAUUGGAUAUGGAGGCUGCAGUUUAGUCUAUAAAGGGAGGUUAGUCCAAGUUAAAAUGGAGGUGGCUAUCAAGAUUCUUGACACUGAAGAGCAAGAUGCGGAGAAAAGCUUUCUAGUAGAGUGUGAACUUCGGAGAAGUAUUCGCCACCGAAAUAUUCUACCUCUCAUAACCACAUGCUCCACAAUUGACAAUAAAGGCAAUACCUUCAAAGCUCUAAUUUAUGAAUUUAUGCCUAAUGGAAACAUGGACACUUGGCUGCAUUAUCAAGGGGACGGCAGAACUCCAGAAUGUUUAGGCUUAUCUCAAAGAAUAAAUACAGCUAUUAACAUAGCCGAUGCAUUGGCCUACUUACACAAUGACACUGGAAGGCCCAUUGUCCAUUGUGAUUUAAAGCCUAGUAAUAUCCUGCUAGAUGUUCAUAUGAAUGCUUACUUGGGUGAUUUUGGCGUCGCAAGGUUACAUAUUGAUUCUAAGUUGAGAUCAGUUGGCGAUUCAAGCUCAGCCUGUUCAACGAGUGCAAAAGGAACUAUAGGGUAUAUGGCUCUAGGUAGAACUUUAUCCUUCUAGGAUUUUUACAAAUUAUAUUAACAUGAACCAUAUUUUGCAAGUUGUUAUGCACUGAUUAUCACUUUUAUGUCUAUGAUUAGAGUAUGCAGGAGCUGGUAAUACAUCAACUUUUGGAGAUGUUUAUAGUUUUGUAAUAGUACUUCUUGAGAUGCUGACAGGCAAAAGACCAACAGAUCACAUGUUCAGGAAUGACUCACCAUUAUUAGCUUUGUGUGGAAAGGUACUUUCCCAAUCAGAUACUAGAUGUUGUCGAUACUCAUUUGCUAGAAGAAUCCAAGGCGUUCAUCGAAGCAACUGCGGCGACAGAAAAUCUUAAGAUCUUCCUGUGCUUGUUGUCUUUGCUACGAGUAGCACUUAUUUGUACACGCCAAAACCCAAGAGAACGAAUUAACAUGAGAGAAGUAGCAGCCAGAUUAAGUGCAAUCAAGAUGUCAUACGUGGGACUGUGGGAGGAAGAGUUAAGGGCUAAACUUCGUUCAAGAGACUCAUAAGUUGGGCUUCUCACAGGAGUUGAAGGAAGAAAGAAAAUGGUAAAAGUUUAAGCUUCUCGAUACAAUAGGGACUCUGCUUGUAGAACCAAAUUUGAAGAUUUUUGAAUGCUUUAGUGAAUUGAUUGAGUUAUACAAAAACAGCUUCAUUGGUCAAAUUCCUAUUUCUCUUGGCAAGCUCAUUAGCUUGCGCACUCUAUCCCUUGGGAGAAACAACCCUAGCUUGAAGCAAACGACAACCAAAGCUGGGAAUUCUUUGAUGCGUUGAAAAAUUGUAGCCUUCUACAAUAUCUCAUUCUAGGCAACAACCGACUAUAGGGAGUUAGAACACCUUCGGUUGGUAGCCUAACCACCAAUCUUAUAGUAUUACAAUUAAAUUGGAACAACCUUUCGGGAAUAGUUUCGCCAAGAAUACGAAACCUUUCCGGUUUAAUUCAACUAGGAUUAAGCUACAACAAUUUUACUGAACAAAUGAAUAAUGGAUUGGAGGAACUCUUAAACAUAUCUAGCUAUAUCCAUUGGAACAACUUUGAUGGGCCAAUUAUUCUCUACGACGUAUUACUCAGUUAGAAAGACUCUUACUACCAGAAAGUGAAUUUGAUGGUUCAAUACCACGUAUAGCUUAGGAGACCCUCAACAACUUUCCUGGUUGGGCCUUAGUAAUAACAAUCUUCAAGGAAACAUACCUCCCCAGCUUGGCAGCCUUAAAAAACUCACUGAUCUUCAUCUUCAAUCAAGCAAACCCACUAGGCCCCAUAGACUGCCAAGUGAGCUUCUGUCCCGUGAUCUUUUUUCCAGAAACUCCUUUAUGUCUGUGUUCUGUUGGUUAUCAGACUGCUUUGCUGAUGUUGCUUCUCCAUACAAAUCAUAUAUUCAUAUCCAAGAGGAAAUAUCAAAAAUGGAGUAUUUGCAUAUGCGACAGCGCUGUUUCACUAGAUAGCUAUUUAGGACUCUGUGGAGGAGUUACUAAUCAUCUGAAUAUGCUCUCAUGUCCAGCGGUUUCCCAGAGAAUACAAAGCCGAUAUUUUUCUAAUAAGAGUACUGAUCCAAGUAUUUGGCUUCAUGUCAAUUAUGUUGUUGAUCUGUACAUUGACGGACAAGAAGGUUCCAAGUAAAAUAUAUUUAUUGUUGCAGCAUUCAUUUGGCAAGUAGUUCCUACAAAGAUCUAGCUCAAGAGACAGCAAACUUUUUUCUGGAUCGAACCUACUUAGGAGAGGAAGCUAUGGCUCUGCGAUUGCUAUCUCUAGUGCAGAUCGCUCUUUCUUGCACUCGUGUAUUCCCAAGAGAAACAAUAUUGAACAUGAGAGAAGUUGCCAGUAAGUUGCAAUCAAUCAGAAUGACAUACGUGGGAUCGACCAAGAGAAAACAAGUCCUGAUUCAUAUUUAGUAGAGUAUUUUACAAUGUGACAGGAAUAUUCUGUAGGCAGUUUAGGUUCUCUUUGAAUGCAAUGGGCACAAAGUUGGUAAUUCAGCCUAUGAUUUCGCAUGUUAAAAAAGAACAAGAUACCCUGCUACUGCUAAGCUGCAGCCUGUUGGUGGUGAAUGAUGAACAGUGUCCAAUACCAUCAUAUUAAGAUUUGGCUUUUGAGCAUUUGGAAAAUUGGAUUUGAUAAAGUAUCAGUAAGUUGACAAAGUAUUCAGAUCGCUUCUAUGGUAGCGUGUGACUGUAACACUGAGUGGUGUUUUAAACCGACGUUACAUGGAUACGUCAGGGAGGUGCCGUAUCCUGUAUUGUAUACGUAUCCAUAUCGGAUACGGCCAGGAUACGUGAUGGAUAAAUAUAGUAAAUGUUGAUACGUGGGCCCACACGUAUCGGGCUGAUUUUGCGAUACGGCCUAGUCCAAAUCCACCUCUUAUCCACACACCUGCUACCUACUCGCUACAGCCCCCACCCCGACAUCCUCACGCAUUGCGCUGCCGGCCCCUCGCUCCCCCGCACGGUGGUCACAUGAGCGCCUCCACCUGCUGGAGGGGGCACCAGGCCGGCGUCCGCCAGAGAAGGACCUCUGCCAGGGGACGCUCCGUAGCUCUGAUUUGCCUGCGAAGAAGCUCUGCAGCUCUGACAACCAAGCUCACGACGGAACUAAUUGCCAAGGCGGCGACAUUCUGUGAGUUUCUUCCUCAUCAGCUUGUUUGGUGGCUCUUCCCUUUCUCGAUCUACAUUUGUUCUUCGGUUCUUGAUAUUUUGCUGCUCAAUUUUCCGAUUCCCUUCCUCAUCCUAAUCUUUCGCCAACAGAUAGCAGCACCAAAUUCGAGCGUGCUAGUUCUACUUUUUCUUUGCCUACCGGCUAACGCUCCUCUUUCAAGCAAUAACGAUAAGAAGAACAAGAGUGGAUCCGACCUGCUUCACCAAUUGACAAAUUUUUAGCAUUGCACCUGGUUAUUGUUGUAAAAUUUGUUAUGCAUUAUUUUUAUAUAUUAAAAAAUUGACUAAAUGUAUCGGCGUAUCGUAUUGUUUGGAAAAAUCACGUAUUUGCGUAUCUGUAUCCGUCCGAUACUUUAUGAUAAAUGGAACGACGCAGCUAAUCGACCGCAAGUCCGCAAUCUAGCUAACAACCGCUCGGAUCCCUAAUCCGAACCUCAAACUACAGUCACUCAAAAAGUUAAGGUCGACGAGAUGCUGUGCAUACCGUUAGUGCGGCCGCUGGUCAGCCGCCUGCUUCGCCGUCCGCCGCUGCCCGCAACUGCGACUGCUCCACGCUCUGUCCCAGACGACGCGCGCCGCCUGCGCUCGCGUAGUGGCCGAUUUCUUCCGCAACGGCGCGGUGCCGCCGCGGUGGGACCGUGGGAACCGCUUCGUCGCUUUGUGACCGGUGAGAUUUUGCCAGUCUGUAGCCGUCGUUGGGCAAGAAGGCCGACGAGGCUUUGUUGGCUGGGCCGUUUUUGUUUUUGGGCCAUGGCACGAUGACCCAGUCCGCUCUUCUUUGGAUCUGUUCAUGUCGUGCACACAACAGGUGGCGAAUCAGUUCCAACCUUUUUGUUAGCCUCUUGCUUGCCUCAAGAUUUCCAGGAAUUAAUUCUGGCCCUGGGAUAUAGUAGAAAAUUGGUGCUUAAUGGUGACGAAAUUUCCAGGAAUUAAGGGAGCUCCUGCUCUCAAUCUCCAAGUUCAAUCACUCGAAACAAACAAGCCAUAGAACAUGCAAGGUUAUUCAGCUUCUGCACAUUACCAUAUACGUACUUAUGAACAAUGUUAUCUGAAUACAACAACGUCAGGAGUGCAACUUCUUGUUAAGUCAAAUAAUAACAUUGAUUACUUCACCACAUGCUAAUGUAGCUUCCAAAACAUCGACAAAAAAAUAGUUAAACAUAGCGCAAUACAAUUGUACUGUAGACACAGCUACAGUCGCAAUACAACAAUGUUUAGUUUGGCUUGCACAGAAUUUUUUUCUUGGACGAACGGGCACACAAAACUGUGCACUAUUUCUAUUAAUAUAGAAGGAGUAACAAACGGGCAGCCAUGGAAGGCUCCCUCUCCCUACAUGCUAAAAAAAUGUACAAGUGUAAAAGACUAAAACUGAACAGAAAAUUUGGAUCUAUACACUUCUAGGAUGGUUUAAAUUCACAAAGUUCUUUCUUCAAAGAAUUUAUCCAGAUGCACAACCUUUAACGGACUAGCACAAUAAAACACGAGGUUGUAUAUUUCCUUAAGACAUGAAAGAACGUGGUGUCAUGAAAGAAUUUGCAUCCUCAAACAGAACAAAUGAUGCAUGGAUGUAACUCAUCCUCAGAUCUAGUGUCGCUCAAAUUGAUUGGGGAGGUGGUGACUACGCUUUCGGGCUGCGGCUAACCCUGCUACCCCAUUGGACGAUGCGCUGGCUCCAGAAUGCAAACCAUUAUUGGUGAUACAGUGGUUUCCGUGUGAGCUUUUUUUUUCGGAGCCCUUAUGAACAUGUAGGUGAGGGAAUCAAAGGACGUAGCACAUAGGGGUCGCUCAUGGUUUUGGCGUCGUGUCCGGCGGCCAAAUACAUUCCGUUGCGUGACCACCCUGCGCGAGACGACACUGCACAAGCGGACGCGGCGGCCUCAUGACUCAUGCGUGCAAUGAUCGUUGCACCUCGUUCCCUUGCCGUCGGGAUGCGUGUGAUGAUCGUGACUACGGUUUCUCGCAUACUUCCUCCGUUUCAAAAUGUAGAUUUUUAAUUUUUUUAAGUACAUAGAUUUUACUAUAUAUCUAGACAUUACCGUAUAUUUAAGUGCACAGUAAAAUUUAUGAAAUUAGAAAAAAUCAAAACGAUCUACAUUUUGGAACGGAGGGAGUGGAGAUAGAUGCUGCUAUGCUGCCGCAUGUGCGACGAAGCUAGCUUAUGUACACAGUUUACCCUGUAGCAUAGAUCUCUGGUCAGUAGAUAGAUGUUUUGUUCACGAUUCCCUUAAUUACUGCAAGUGGUGCACAAAUUACGACUAGCGCCCAUAAACCUUCAACAAGAUGCAAGCUGUAUCCGGCAUACCAGGGUGGAGAAUGGCCCUUAUACAGUCGUACUGCUGUACAACCACUGAUUUCACAAUUCAGGACUCACGUCCUAUACUCCAAGUGCCUGAUUUUUUCCUUACCUUUUACUUUUAUUCCAGUCGCCAGCAAGUUAACGGCAGCGGCUCUCUGGUGGAACUUGCCGGGUGGUGGCAAGCCUGGCUGUGAGGGCAGGACCGCAGGAAGGCAGGGCUAGGGAUGCGGGGCGGGUUUUUUUGGCCGCGAACCUGCUGGGUGAGCCCGUACCGUGAAUCCACGUAACCCGCGUAAUUGCAGCGGUCCAAGCGGGCAUGCCCGCCGUACUCAACGGCGCCGCAAGCGUCAUUCAUACGAGCGUGAAAAUUCUUAUCUUCUCCUAAUAGUACAACAGGCCGUCCCUAGUCACUGCUUUGACUUUUUAUCAACCAGCGGCUGGUAUGUUGCUUAUAUAUGGAGCCACGGCAACUUAUGUAACUAGAUUUUGUGUUUGUUGAAGAUUUUUUUACCUCACGAUCUUGUAAUAAGUGUGCACAUGAAUUAGCUCGAUCUAGUUUGAGUUGGGACUCGGAUCAGUCAUGUGUUUGGCUUAAUCCCCUACCGGAAUUUGUAAAGUUAUUAGCAGUUCAUAAUUUUCCUGAACCACAGACAAAACGAUUUGUAGUGAUGCCCAUUGUUUAGCGACGGGCGAAAUUACCACCUGCACCUACAAAACGUGGGGAGGAGGAUUACUGUAGCAUCCGCACCGCCCCUGGAGAAACAUUUGCAGGGACGGGUCACGAGGACCCGCCCCUAGAAAUGGGCACUAUUUCCAAGGGUGGGUGAUGCCGAUACGUCGCCAAGAAUUUUUUACAACAAAAAGAAAAAUAAUUUGCAGGGAUGGGUGAUGGCGUCAUCCGUCCCUAAAAAUCUUUUCUAGGAGUAGGUGAUGGUGUCACCCGCCCCUUUCCCAGGGCAGGUGACUGCUAAUGCCUCCUAUAUAAGGCAGUCCGCACCGGGGACUUAGCCAAAAAUUCACAGAAGCGCGCGGGACGUCGUUAGGCUGCCGAAUUUUCACUUCCCUCCCCCGAUCUGCCGCCCCCUCCCCCAUGGGCUCCACCACCGCAGUGCCUCCCCUUCCCCCCGGGCCACCGCGCCACGCCUCCUCCCCUCCCUCACGGCGCCUUCCUGUCGCGGCGCCUCCCCUCCCCGCUGCCUCCACCGCUGGGCCAUAGCGCUGAGCCUCCUCCCCUCCUCCCGUGGUGCCUUCCCAUUGCGGUGCCUCCUCUCCCCGCGUCUCCCCUCCUGUGCCGCCUCCACCACCAUGCCUCCCUUUCCACGGGCUACCGCCAUAGCGCCUCCCUCCCCCGCGCGCCUCCCUUCCCCGCGGUGCCUCCGUCCACGACCGUCAGUUUCUUAAUUUUAUUUUAUUUUCUUUUUAUUUUUUUAUUUUGAUUUUAUUUUAACUAUGAGCCGUACUCUCUCCGUCCCAAAUUACAAGUUAUUUUGGCCUUUUUAGAUUCAUAGACUUUGUUAUGCACUAAGAUAUACACUAUAUCUAGAUGCAUAAUAAUAUCUAUGCAUCUAGAAAAGCCAAAACGACCUAUAAUUUGGGAUGGAGGAAGUAGUACUUAGUGUAAAACAACAAUUACAAAUUUCUUCCAUUAUCUUAGACAAUCUUUUAUCCUUAGCAUUUCGUGAAUUAUGAUGUUUUACGGCGCAAUUAUUAUUAAAGUUGAUGUUUGUGGAAUAAUCUAUCUUAUUACAAUUUUAUUUGGAUAGUUUGUGCUAAGUAUGGCAAAUAGACAUUCUUUUCGCCACGGUGGUGGCGGUCGUGGAAGUGGCAGGGAACACUACAUUUUCGAGGAGCCACCGUUGGUUCGUCCUCCGGGAAUUCACUUCCCUAAUCGCGUCAUUGACUUGCCUACCGACGAUCGAAGUAAAGGAGCAAUUUCCAAUAUAGUAAUUCCUAAUUUUAUUACACAUGCAUAUAGUUCCCAAUAUAGUAAUAUUAUUUCCUUCUUGUAAUUGGUUGUUUUAUUACACAUUAAUAAUUUCUUUUUACUUACAUACAAUAUAGCUUAUGGACCCUAUUAGAUGGCUCAAAGAUGUUGUCGAAGCUCUAGAUGGUACCACUCCUUUAGUGUAAUCCGAGGUUGGUGGUGCAAGUAAUUUUAUAAGACUAAAGAUCUCUUUUGAAGUACCUGUUCGAGGAGGAUAGGCCAACUUGAUGCGACGACCAGGAUAGGCUAUUCCGAUGGUAUCAAUUGUCGCAUGAGGUAAAGAAGCAGCUUGACUUUUGAAAAGCCCGUCGUAAAGGCAUGCCUACAACAACUGGAUAAUGGGUACUUUAUGCCAGGCUUCUUAUAUUUUCGAAUAAAGACGCUCGAGGAGAGAGAAAGCAAUGUGACUAUGACUACUGUGAGGUUUUAUCAGCUGAAUCAACAUGACAUGGUAUGUAAUAUAUCUAUUCAUUCUUACAUCUUUAGUUAUGUUACAUCUCUCAACUUUCAUCACAUUAUUUUUAUUUUUAGGAUAUCUUUGGUCAAAUAUUUGCGGCAAUGAGAUUUCAUACGAUUCUAGCUCAAGUCUUAGAUGUGUUGAAUUAUAGUUACAUCGAUGGAAACUUGAUACGCACUAGAGAUUUUAAGCUCCAGGCUCAUCUCACUUUCUACAGGCCAUAUGAUUUUACCUCUCCAUUGUUCGAGAUUUAUGGUAGUGUAUGUGAUCAUCCAUACGAAGCGAUAGAGAGUGCACUAAUUCAUGCUCUAGUUUAUAUUGAUGAAGUUCUAGGCUUUAAGAUUAGAGACUUAAACUAUAUUUCAUAUCUAUGAAGCGAAGCUAAGUAUGAAAUAUGUAGCAUGCAUGGAUGCUCUACCCUUUUCUUAUGAAUUUGAACUUGUUCUGUCUAAGACCAAAGUAUUUAUGCAUGAACUUGCAUUAUGAGACUGGUUAUAUAUAUUCUGUUGCAUAUACAAUGUUCUGUGAGUGUUGGAUCUGAAUGGGUUGAUACAUGGGAGAAUCACAUUUUAAAAAUUUGGCGCAAAAAUAGUACAAAAUUUUGGCGGGAACGACAUUUCCAGCGGCGGGUGAUACCAUCACCCGCCUAGUUUGUAAGGGCGGUUCAUGACAUCACCCGCCCUUGAAAAUGUCUUUACAGGGUGGAUCUAUUACACGCUCUUGCAAACAGCUACUUUUAACUGCGAAAAGCAGGAACGGAUAGCAUGCCCGCCUUUACAAAUGCUAUUUCAACCAUCCUUGGAAACCGUUUUUUAUAGUGAUAAAUAAAAAAAUAUUUUUUAAAAAAAGUACAAUAGGCCGUCCUAACCCUACGAGCGUCAUGCGUACGAGCGUGAAGCGUCCCUGCCCUCCAAACCCAGUAGCAAUCACUGUGGCUCCUGAGUGCUGCCCCAAGCUUGAAGCUUCGUAUCCGAAAGUUCUCCUUUGGCCGCACUUGGCAUUGUCCUGCGACCCUGUCUCCCAGUCUGGCAGACCGCCACUGCCUGGCUCGAGCACGGUACCACCAUUCAAGUGAAGCAUUAGUGGUCUCCGUUUCAGCCAUUCUCGAGACCAUCCGAACAGUUAAAUUAGGUCAGGCAUAAGAGGAUAUCAAACGCCUUCCUGGAUCGCUGGGCUUCGUGCCGAAGCCAGCUAGCUACACACCUUUGGCAUCGUCGGGGGCUCAUCCCUGCACAAGAUAGUCGUGCCGUUCGAUCACCAUCCCACGUUGGCAGCCUGGCAGGACGCCCGUGAGGCGAUGAGUCGUUACGCGAGCUUAGACAGGUUAAGUAACUAUAGUAACCUUCUACUGCUUUAACUAACUGAUAAUCACUUCGAAGGAAGAAUACCAGAUUCUAUUCACUAGUAGAGAAUUGGCUUUCGAUCCGCCCCCUUUUGUCCCGGUUUAAAGUUGGCCCGGGACAAAAGGGGGUGCGCCACGGUAGGUAAAAUUGGAGGGGAGAUUUACUCCCGGUUGGUAAUUGCAACCGGGACUAAAGGCCCCACUUUAGUCCCAGUUGCAACGGCUAGCUGGGGGGCGUCGGUGGCGGGACCCUUUUAUCUCAGUUGGAGGAUCCAACCGGGAUAAAAGGUGAACCCUUUUAUCCCGGUUGGAGGCACCAACCGGGAUAAAAAGUUUAGUCCCGGUUGGUGCCUCCAACCGUUGGAGCCUCCAACCGGGACUAAACUUCCAACCAGGACAAAAGGUGUUCCUUUUUGUCUCGGUUGGAGUUUUUAACCGAGAUAAAAACUCAUCCCCAUUAUAUACGGCCAAGACAGAGGACUUUCUUCCUCCUCCAGCCCGAGCCAGUCCAGCACAUUGACAGAGAGAGCUGAGCUUCACCUACUCUCCAGUGGUGCCGAAGCAAGCAAGGAAGGUGCUGCCCGAAGUUUUUUCCCUCAUUUUCGUGGGAAUUUCACUUGGCCAACACAAGUGUUGCGAAGGUUUGCUACUUCAUCCUCGUGUUAUGCUUUGAUUUAUGCUUUGGAGAUGGAAAGAUUAUUUGCUAGAAUGUGAUGAUGAAGUAGAAAAAUGGAGAGGUAUUUUGAGCUAGAAUGUGAGGGAGAUUGAUGUGUCAUAUAUAGUAUGCAUUAUUGCAAUGGUUUAAAAAUGAUGCUACCUUGUCUAGACGGUUUAUCUUAUCAAAUUCAAUAUAGUUUUUUAAAUCCAUACUUGUUGAACUUGCAUACCAUGUUCAUUUCUGCUACGAUGUUCUCCGCCGAGCAGCAACGUAUGUCAAGAAGGAGGUUCGAUUCUACAAGAAAGAGUGGAUACGGACAUCGUGACCGUGUCCCCUUUUCCGUAGCAUCUAACCUCUUUCAUGACGAAGUGCGGUGCUGCCCAGCUGAGGACAUCCUCGCGAAAUGAUCACGGUCUUCAAGUUCAACAACUUCUGUAGUGGUAAGGAAAGAAUUUUUGUACAUAGAUGACUUCUGCUACUUGUUGAACUUGCAUACCGUGUUCAUCUCUCCGAGGAUGUUUUCCGCCGAGCAGCAACGUAUGUCAAGAAGGAGGUUCGAUUCUACGAGAAAGAGUGGAUACGGACAUCGUGACCGUGUCCCCUUUUCCGUAGCAUCUAACCUCUUUCAUGACGAUGUUGGGAUACGAGGUAGGCUACACUAGCGUAAAUCAAAAUUUCUACCGCGUAUAACCAGGAAGAACUGCCGUAUAAGGAUCACGGGAUUACCACUCGACGCACUACUGGUGCGGAAGAUGUAGAUAUGCGUCGAUGCAGUGAAGACGAUCACGUAGUCGUACGUAGUCGAUCAACGUAGUCGUACGUAGUCGAUCACGUCACGUCCAGCAGCUCCCACGUGCAGCAAGAUCGCCUCCGGUGCCGCGGCUCAUCGUGGCUCGUCGAUGGCUCGUCCAAGUGCUGCAGGCGCAACACCUCCAAGGUAUCCACACGUGCAGGGAGGAAGCGUCGCAAGCUGGACUGCUAGAUCCGCGAGUUGCAACAGGCGAGGGCGUGGGAGGCGCGGCAGAUGUGUUUCGCCAAAAGGUGUAAACCCUAGGGCGCCCCCACCCCUCUAUUUAUAGAGGUUCCUGACGGGCCUCUGGAUCCGAGGCCCAUUAGUACUUCUAAAACUAAUCCAACUCGGAUCUGAUCCGAAUUGGGCUUCCAGCCCCUUAAGUGUGUGACCCUAUGGGUUCGGAUACGUAUAGACAUGGCCCGAGUACUCCUACUCGGCCCAAUAGUCGGUAGCGGCCUCUAGCAAGACGUGCCAACUCCUACACGCACACGAAGAUCAUAUCAGACGAACCAUCACAACAUAAUAUACAUGCUAUUCCCUUUGCCUCACGAUAUUUGGUCUAGCUUCAAGCCGACCGCUCUUUCUCGAUCCUGUGAUUCGGAAUCCCUUUGUAGGUUAACUCUUAACCGUACGUAGCAUGGCCAUGCAUUUUCGGAUCCGAUCACUCGAGGGCCCCAGAGAUAUCACUCUCAAUCAGAGAGGGGCAAAUCCUAUCUUGACUGACCAUGUCUCAUAGCAUGCUUCUUGACAAACCCGAAAGCUACCUUUAUAACUACCCUGUUACGGCGUAGCAUUUGAUAGCCCCUAAGUAGGUCGAUCCACAUCUAGAAUACAUGCGACAGUCUCAGGUCUAAGGACAAAGCGUAUAUGUUGUUUAAAGAGAGAACUACUUCUCGUGUUGGGUCAGUCCUAGCACAUGUCUCCACAUGUGUCCACAUUAUCAGUUCAACAUCUCCAUGUCCAUGACUUGUGAAACAUAGUCAUCAACUAAUACAUGUGCUAGUCUAAUAUUCAUGUGUGUCCUCACAUGAACUCCGACUAGGGACAACUUUAGAAUAACCAUACAAGUAAAGAGUUUCACAUACAAUUCACAUAAUUGCAAAUCAAUUCAAGUAGCCUUUAAUGGAUAUUCAAUGAACACAAUAUACAAAUCAUGGAUACAAAUGGAAUAUCAUCAUCUCUAUGAUUGCCUCUAGGGCAUACCUCCAACAGUCUCCCACUUGCACUAGAGUCAAUCUAGAAGGUACCUAAUACCCAUAGCUCUUACAUGCGCAUCAUGCUUAGCCUGCGGGAGUGGUUUUGUCAAUGGAUCAGAAAUGUUCAGAUCCGUGUGUAUUUUGCAUAUCUUGAUCUCACCCCGGUUAACGAAGUCUCGAAUGAGAUGAAAUCGCCGCAUUACGUGUUUGUUCUUCUGGUGGUUCCUUGGCUCCUUUGCUUGCGCAAUUGCCCUAUUAUUAUCACAGUAGAGAUUCAAUGGGCUGGACGCAUUCGGGAACACACCAAGCUCAAUGAGGAAAUUCCUUAUCCAAACACCUUCCUUCGCGGCUUCCAAAGCCGCGAUGUACUCGGCUUCUGUCGUAGAAUCGGCCACCGUCUCCUGCUUGGAACUCUUCCAACUAACAGCACCACCAUUUAGCGUGAACACAAAUCCUGAUUGUGACUUUGAAUCAUCUCUGUCGGUUUGGAAACUAGCAUCGGUGUAACCUGUUACAACGAGCUCCUCCUGACCUCCAUAGACGAGGAACAUAUCUUUAGUCCUUCUCAAGUACUUAAGAAUGUUUUUCACCGCUGUCCAGUGACUCUCACCUGGAUCAGAUUGGUGUCUGCUUGUCAUACUUAGCGCAUAUGAAACAUCUGGGCGAGUACUUAUCAUUGCAUACAUGAUAGAUCCAAUAGCCGAGGCAUAUGGCACUCUACUCAUGCUAUCCCGCUCAUCAGCAGUCGAAGGACACUGAGUCUUGCUGAGAUGUAUGCCAUGUGACAUAGGCAAGAACCCUUUCUUUGCCUCUUCCAUGCUGAACCGCUUCAACACUUUGUCAAUAUAAGUAUCUUGGCUCAAACCUAUAAGCCUUCUCGAUCUAUCUCUAUAGAUCUUAAUGCCCAGAAUAUAUGCCGCUUCCCCUAAGUCCUUCAUCGAAAAACUAUUUUUCAGUGAAGUCUUUACGGACUCAAGCAUAGGAAUGUUAUUUCCAAUCAGUAAUAUGUCAUCCACAUAUAAGAUUAGAAAUACUACAGAGCUCCCACUAACCUUCUUGUAAACACAAGACUCUUCUUCGUUCUUGGUGAAGUCAAACCCUUUGACCACUUCAUCAAAACGAAUGUUCCAACUCCUAGAUGCUUACUUCAAUCCAUAAAUGGAUCUCUGAAGCUUGCAUACCUUUCCAGCAUUUUUCGGAUCGAUAAAACCCUCGGGCUGUAUCAUAUACACGUCCUCAGCUAGGUUUCCAUUCAGGAAAGCUGUCUUGACAUCCAUCUGCCAUAUCUCAUAAUCGAAAUAUGCAGCUAUAGCUAGAAUAAUCCAAAUGGACUUAAGCAUCACUACGGGCGAGAAGGUCUCGUCGUAGUCAACUCCUUGAACUUGUCAAAAACCUUUUGCGACAAGUCGUGCUUUAUAGAUGUGAACAUUUCCAUCCAUGUCCUUUUUCUUCUUAUAGAUCCACUUGCACUCUAUGGCUUUAACACCAUCAGGUGGGUCAACCAAGUUCCAAACUUGAUUGUCUCCCAUGGACUCUAUUUCGGAUUGCAUGGCACUCUGCCAUUUUUCGGAGUCUGGGUCCAUCAUUGCUUCUGCAUAUGUCGCAGGCUCAUCAUUGUCCAACAAUAAUAUUUCCCGCAUUUCGCGGAGCCUUGCCGACCUUCAUGGUUGUGGCGGUGCUUCUCUUGCCAUGGGUAUCUCAACUUGUUCUGCUACGUCAGCAUCACUCAUUGGUUCUUGCCCGAUUGGCUCAUCUUGAACUUCUUCAAGAUGCACUGUCUUUCCACUCUUUUCUCCUUUGAGAAACUCUUUCUCUAGGAAAACCCUGUUCCGAGCGACAAACACUUUGCCUUCUGAUCGGUUGUAGAAAUAAUAUCCCAAAGUUUCCUUUGGAUAUCCCACGAAAAUGCACUUAUCCGACUUGGGUGUGAUCUUGUCCGACUGAAGUCGCUUGACAAACACUUCACAUCCCCAAAUCUUUAGAAAAGACAAACUAGGAACCUUUCCAGUCCAUAUCUCAUAUGGUGUCUUAACUACGGAUUUAGAUGGUACCCUAUUAAGUGUGAAAGCUGCUGUUUCUAGAGCGUAUCCCCAAAAUGACAAUGGUAGGUCCGAAUGGCUCAUCAUUGAUCGAACCAUGUCUAACAAAGUUCGAUUACGUCGCUCGGACACACCGUUUCUCUGAGGUGUUCCAGGCGGCGUAAGUUGUGGAACAAUUCCGCAACUCUUUAGAUGAUUGCUAAACUCGUGGCUCAAAUACUCGCCUCCACGAUCAGAUUGUAAGGCCUUAAUUUUCUUGCCACGCUGAUUUUCAACUUCAUUCUGAAAUUCCUUGAACUUUUCAAAGGUUUCAGACUUGUGCCUCAUCAAGUAGACAUAGCCAUAUCUACUAAAAUCAUCAGUGAAAGUUAUGAAGUAUUGGAAUCCUCCUCUAGCCGUCAUGCUCAUUGGUCCGCAUACAUCACUAUGUACGAGUUCCAACAAGUCUACUGCUCUCUCAGGAAAUCCUGUGAAAGGCGUCUUGGUCAUCUUGCCUAGCAAGCAAGCCUCACAUGUCUCGUAUGAUUCAAAAUCAAACGAAGUUAGAAGUCCAUCAGAAUGGAGCUUCUUCAUGCGCUUUUCACUUAUAUGACCCAAACGACAAUGCCACAAGUAGGUAGGACUCAAAUCAUUAGGCCGAGGCCUUUUAGCACUUACAUUACAGACAGGUGAACCAUCAAGAUUUAAAACAAAUAAUCCAUUCACAAUGGGUGCAAAAGCCAUAAACAUAUUAUUCUUAGAGAUCACACAACCAUUGUUUUCACUCGCAAAUGAAUAACCAUCCUUCAUCAAACAUGAAGGAGACAAAAUGUUUCGACUUAAACUAGGAACAAAAUAACAAUUAUUCAACUCCAUAAUAAAUCCUGACGGGAGGUGGAGUUGCAUCGUCCCGACGGUCAACGCAGCAACUCUUGCAUUAUUGCCCACGCGGAAAUCAACUUCUCCUCUUUCCACGCUUCUACUUCUUAUCAUUCCCUGCAUUGAAUUGCAAAUAUGAGCAACCGAUCCGGUAUCAAAUACCCAAGAAUUAAUAACUGUAUCAGUGAGAAAUAUGUUGUCUAUAACAUUAACAACAAGCGUACCUGAGGUAGAAGUACUCUUACUUCCGCCGUUCUUCAACGAAGCUAGGUACUGCUUGCAGUUUCUCUUCCAGUGACCAAGUUCAUGACAGUAAAAGCACUCUUUAUCUGGAGCAGGUCCAGCUUUAGCCUUGGGCGCUGGGUUUGGCUUGGACACUCCAGCCUUGCCCUUCUUCUUCCAAGAAUUGCCCUUCUUCUUAAAGGUAGGCUUGUUCUGUACAGCCAUCACAUGGCUGGUACUAGCGCUUUUCUUAAUGUCUACCUAUGCUGUCUUGAGCAUACCACACAGUUCAUUCAGACCCUUCUCCGUCCCAUGCAUAUGGUAGUUCGAGAUGAAGUUCCCAUAGCUAGGCGGAAGAGAUGAAAGAAUGAAGUCAGUGGCCAAAUCUUUGCCCAUUGGGAAGCCCAGCUUCUCCAAUCGCUGAGUGUAACCAACCAUCUUGAUUACAUGUGGUCCUACUGCUGCGCCUUCUGCUAACUUGCACUCCAGAAAGGCUUUGGACACAUUGAACCUUUCGGUCCUAGCCUGUGUCUGGAACAUGUCCUUGAGCGCCAUGAUCAUAUCGUGUGCCUCAUGAUUUGUUUCGAACUGCAUCUGCAGCUCGGGUUCCAUGCAAGCAAGCAUAAGGCAGCUUACCUCAAGAUUAGCAUCAAAUGCCUUCUUGUAAGCAGCCUUAACGGCAGCAGAUGCAUCAUCAGCAGAUACUGGUGGUAGUGGGGUGUCUAGAACAUCUUCCUUUUUCUCAGCCCUGAGAACAAUUCUUAGGUUAUGGAUCCAAUCCGAGUAGUUUGUUCCAUUCAACUUGUCCUUCUCAAGGACCGAACGCAAAGCAAACGAUGCGGUGGUGUUGCUAGGUGCCAUUUAAUCUACAACAAAAGUAAUGCAAAAUACACUAAGACAAACGUAUCCAUGAUAGAGCAAAUUACAUUAAACUAUUUUAACAGAAUCUACUCCCACUAAAAUCAAUAUCGCUCUAUUGAAACUUAGUGAUUCAGGAUCCACAACUAACAAGUCUACUAGUGAGCUUUAGCAUCACCGCUAGCAAACGAGGUAGAUCGGUAAGCAACUUUUGCUAAUCAUAUCACAUAUGACUCCUGUUGUUGGGUGACAUCUCUAUGUCUCGGCACCCAACCUUUAUGCCCCAAGGUCCUUAACCAUUAAGAUAACCUUGUUAAGCAAACCAACCCUUAUGCGUGUAAGUGUCCGACACAAACCCGUCUAGUCAAGGAAAACUAGUGGCACCCUAAUUUCAUAGACCCACCACUAAUUGUACAAGACAUGGGACGGUGCAAGUUUUAGUUGGGAGGGCAUACUAACUUAAACUUUGUGAGGGAUCGUUCUACUUCUAACAUCACAGCAUGCAGAAAGUAAAACAUAAACAGAAUAGCAUUCACACAGUUGUGACACAGUAUGGCCCGUUUCCAUAUGGUGAUCUCCAUCUCCAUGUUCCAUGUGCGCCAUCCUCCUGGUGAAGAUUCCUCCAAGAACUAGAGCAUGCUAUUACGCCUAAUAGCUAGUAAAGAAUCUAGUAAUGAAGAUUACAUAGUUGCUUGGAUCAUCACAGAUUGGUACGCAGACCAUUAAAUACAUUAAGGUGACAACACAUAUGGCUCAUGCCGUGUUGCCGUAUGCGCGACACGCAGGUCACGAAUGAGUUACACACAUGCAUCACAUACACAAGGGGGCCAUACUGAUCACAAGAUACAUACAUACAUCCUGCAAAACAGAGUUAGACGCCCUAACGUUCCAAACUUCGGAUGCCCGAAACUCCAUCUUCCAAGCCGAAUUUGGGAAAUCUAAUUUCACCAAAAACGACAAAGCGUUGAAUUUCAUGUGUAACUUUUUCUGUAGAUCAAUUUUCGUAUAAAAAUCGCCCCGAUCCGAGAUCGUACCGAAAAGUUACGGCUGAUUUACCGAAGCAUACGCAUACGGCAAAAUCCCAACCUCGGCAGUAGAUCCCAUCUACUAUUGCACAUCUAAUGCGCCUGGCGUAUGACCCUGGAUCUCGAUUCGACCAAUCAUAUUGAUCUUCGCUCACUGCAACUGGAUUUACGUGUAUCACUUAACUCCGAUGGCGGAAACCGACCGGUAGGAGUAUGUCGUUACACUACCAUUGUAGCAAGGGCACGAAACCAGGACAUAGAUCAAACAGAAAACUCGCAUAUCUCCAUAUGCACACAUCCCGAAUCCAAAACUAAGCAGCUACGGCUCUUGAUACCACUGUUGGGAUACAAGGUAGGCUACACUAGCGUAAAUCAAAAUUUCUACCACGUAUAACCAGGAAGAACUGCCGUAUAAGGAUCACGGGAUUACCACUCGACGCACUACUGGUGCGGAAGAUGUAGAUAUGCGUCGAUGCAGUGAAGACGAUCACGUAGUCGUACGUAGUGGAUCAACGUAGUCGAUCACGUCACGUCCAGCAGCUCCCACGUGCAGCAAGAUCGCCUCCGGUGCCGCGGCUCGUCGUCGGCUCGUCAUGGCUCGUCGAUGGCUCAUCCAAGUGCUGCAGGCGCAACACCUCCAAGGUAUCCACACGUGCAGGGAGGAAGCGUCGCAAGUCGGACUGCUAGAUCCGCGAGUUGCAACAGGCGAGGGCGUGGGAGGCGCGGCAGAUGUGUUUCGCCAAAAGGUGUAAACCCUAGGGCGCCCCCACCCCUCUAUUUAUAGAGGUUCCUGACGGGCCUCUGGAUCCGAGGCCCAUUAGUACUUCUAAACCUAAUCCAACUCGGAUCUGAUCCGAAUUGGGCUUCCAGCCCCUUAAGUGUGUGACCCUAUGGGUUCGGAUACGUAUAGACAUGGCCCGAGUACUCCUACUCGGCCCAAUAGUCGGUAGCGGCCUCUAGCAAGACGUGCCAACUCCUACACGCACACGAAGAUCAUAUCAGACGAACCAUCACAACAUAAUAUACAUGCUAUUCCCUUUGCCUCACGAUAUUUGGUCUAGCUUCAAGCCGACCGCUCUUUCUCGAUCCUGUGAUUCGGAAUCCCUUUGUAGGUUAACUCUUAACCGUACGUAGCAUGGCCAUGCAUUUUCGGAUCCGAUCACUCGAGGGCCCCAGAGAUAUCACUCUCAAUCAGAGAGGGGCAAAUCCCAUCUUGACUGACCAUGUCUCAUAGCAUGCUUCUUGACAAACCCGAAAGCUACCUUUAUAACUACCCUGUUACGGCGUAGCGUUUGAUAGCCCCUAAGUAGGUCGAUCCACAUCUAGAAUACAUGCGACAGUCUCAGGUCUAAGGACAAAGUGUAUAUGUUGUUUAAAGAGAGAACUACUUCUCGUGUUGGGUCAGUCCUAGCACAUGUCUCCACAUGUGUCCACAUUAUUAGUUCAACAUCUCCAUGUCCAUGACUUGUGAAACAUAGUCAUCAACUAAUACAUGUGCUAGUCUAAUAUUCAUGUGUGUCCUCACAUGAACUCCGACUAGGGACAACUUUAGAAUAACCAUACAAGUAAAGAGUUUCACAUACAAUUCACAUAAUUGCAAAUCAAUUCAAGUAGCCUUUAAUGGAUAUUCAAUGAACACAAUAUAUAAAUCAUGGAUACAAAUGGAAUAUCAUCAUCUCUAUGAUUGCCUCUAGGGCAUACCUCCAACAGACGAAGUGCGGUGCCGCCCAGUUGAGGACAUCCUCGCGAGAUGAUCACGGUCUUCAAGUUGAACAACUUAUGCAGUGUUAAGAUAAUAAUUUUUGUACAUAGAUGGCUUCUGCUACUGGAGGAAGUGGCGAUGGUGGGGGCGAUCGUGGUUCCUAUUAUGGCAAGGUUCCAAUCAUAGUUGGCCCUCACCAUAAGCCAAAGAAAAAGAGCACGCUAGAAAAAGCAAUGCUUCGUUAUUUGCGGCAACGUCAUGAAGAAGCUGUUGCCGCGGGUCAGGAACCUCCUUUUGGUGGUCGUUAUGCUCCACCCUCAGUCCCGGGUGUUUCACGUCCACUUAGUACUACCGUUUCAGGCGGCACAAAUAAACCUAAGGAUGAGGUGUGGUCAGCGGAACCUUCGUCUUCACCGUCCAAGGAUGCUUAAAGUCCUCCUUGAUAAUAACCAAUGGAUGGCUUGUUGUAUUGUAUCAUGUUGUUUGGGACUUUAAUUUAAAUAUGUGUAUUUGGAUCUUCAUGUUGUUGUAUUGUACCAUGUUGUUUGGAUCUUUAAUCGAUUUUCACGCGUAAUCCAUUGUCAAGUGUAAUCCAUUUUCAUGCGUAAUACGAUGCAGAUGGACCGGCAAUGGAUGUAUAAUGCAGACACGCGGAGCAAGGCGUUUAUUGAUGGCUUGCAUUAUUUUCUCGAAGUGGCAAAAGCGAACAAGCCAGAGAAUGGGUUCGUAUGUUGUCCAUGCUUCCAAUGCAAUAACAGGAAGGAGUAUUCAAAGGAUUCCUGGGGGACUAUUCACAGCCACUUGUUUAAAUACGGUUUUAUGCCUAACUAUUUGGUUUGGACCAAGCACGGUGAACUAGGGGUUGUAGUGGAAGAUGGCGAGGAGGAGGAGGAAGAUCACACCAUUCCGGACUGGGUUGCAGGCCAAGCUUUUGCAGGUACUACAAUGGGCGAGGCUGAUGAAGAUGAGUUUGCGAAAAAUGGCCCUACUGAUGACCUUGGUCAGGUGAUACGAGAUGCAUACAGAGAUUGCGAAACUGAGAAGGAAGCAGCAAAGUUGCAGUGCAUGAUAGAUGAUCACCAAAAAUUGUUGUACCCAGGUUGCCAGCAGGGCCAUAAAAAACUAGGUACGACACUAGAAUUUGUGCAAUGGAAGGCAAAAAAUGGUGUGUCUGAUAAGGCAUUUCAGGGGAUGUUGAACAUUGUCAAGAAGAUUCUCCCCGAGAAUAAUGAAUUACCGUCCACAACAUAUGAAGCUAAACAGAUUAUUUGCCCUCUCGGAUUGGAUGUUCAGAAGAUACACGCAUGCCCUAAUGACUGUAUCCUCUAUCGUGGUGAUGAAUAUGAGAAAUUGGAUGCUUGUCCCGUCUGCGAAGCCCUGCGGUAUAAGAUCAGGCGAGAUGAUCCUGGUGAUGUCGAGGGGCAGUCUCUCAAGAAGAGAGUUCCCGCGAAGGUGAUGUGGUAUUUCCCUAUAAUACCACGCUUGAAGCGCUUGUUCAGGAAAAAGACGAAUGCUAAGUUGAUGCGAUGGCACAAAGAAGACCGUAAGGAAGAUGAGAUGCUGAGACACCCCGCAGAUGGGGCACAGUGGAGAUCAAUUGAUAGAACAUUCCCAGACUUUGAAUGUGAAGCAAGGAACAUAAGGUUUGGUUUAAGCACUGAUGGAUUCAAUCCAUUCGGUGAGUUGAGUAGUGGCCAUAGUACUUGGCCUGUGACCCUUUGUAUGUUCAACCUUCCUCCUUGGCUGUGCAUGAAGCGGAAGUUCAUUAUGAUGCUGGCGCUUAUCCAAGGCCCAAAACAACCCGGCAACGACAUUGACGUGUACCUAAGGCCGUUGGUUGAUGACCUUUUACAGCUCUGGAAGGAAGAAGGUGUACGUGUGUGGGAUGAGGAUAGACAAGAGAUCUUUAAUCUAUGAGCACUGUUGUUCGUAACCAUCAACGAUUGGCCUGCAUUGAGUAACCUUUCAGGACAGACAAAUAAGGAAUAUCGGGCAUGCACCCACUGUUUAGACGACACAGACAGCAUGUACUUGAAGCACUGUAAGAAGGUCGUCUAUAUGGGUCAUCGUCGAUUUCUCCCUGCUCACCACCAGCUGAGAAAGAGCAGGAUGCAUUUCAAAGGGGCGCCAAACCAUCGUAAAAAACCUGCACACCGUAAUGGAAAGCGUGUGUUUGAGAUGAUGAAGGAUGUAAAUGUAGUCUUUGGAAAGGGACUUGGUAGCCAACCUGUUCCGAACGACGAUAACGGACAUGCACCCAUGUGGAAGAAAAAGUCAAUAUUUUGGGAGCUACCUUAUUGGGAAAUCCUAGAGGUUCGCAACGCAAUAGACGUGAUGCACCUGAUGAAGAAUCUUUGCGUGAACGUGCUAGGCUUCAUGGGUGUUUAUGGAACCUCAAAAGAUACAUUGGAAGCACGACAGGACCUGAAAGCCAUGGGGCAACGAGAUGACCUACAUCCGGAAAAGAGAGAUAAUGGACAGCACUACUUACGUCCUGCCAGUUACACUCUCAGCAAGGAAGAGAAGGAUAGCAUGUUUGAAUGCUUGAAUAGUAUGAAGGUCCCGUCUGGGUACUCCUCGAAUAUAAAGGGAAUAAUAAAUAUGAAACAAAAGAAGUUUACAAAUCUCAAGGCUCAUGACUGCCACAUGUUGAUGACCCAGUUGCUUCCGGUUGCACUGAGGGGUGUUCUACCAGAAAAUGUCCGGUUGCCGCUCGUAAAGCUAUGCGCGUUUCUCAAUGCGAUUUUGCAGAAGGCAAUCGAUCCAUCCAAGCUAUCAAAGCUACAGAACGAUGUGGUGCAAUGUCUUGUCAGUUUUGAGUUGUUAUUUCCACCAUCCUUCUUCAAUAUUAUGACGCACUUACUGGUUCACCUAGUAAAAGAGAUUGGUAUUCUCGGACCUGUAUACCUGCACAAUAUGUGGCCUUUCGAGAGGUUCAUGGCAGUCCUAAAAAACUAUGUUCUUAAUCGUGCCCGUCCAGAAGGAAGCAUCGCCAAGGGAUAUGGAACAGAGGAGGUGAUCGAGUUUUGUGUUGAUUUUAUUGAUUCAAUUGACUCGAUUGGGGUUCCAGCUUCACGCCACGAGGGGAGGCUCCAAGGAAUGGGCACCCUUGGAAGGAAAUCAAGUUUGAGCAAUGAUACUGAUUUGUUCGACAAGGCACACUACACUGUUCUACAACAGUCAUCCUUUGUGUCUCAGUAUAUCGAGCAGCACAGGCAGAUGGUAGGUUCCAAAAACCCGACCAAAUCCGAUGCUUGGCUUACCCGUCAUCACAUGGAAACUUUUCCCUCCUGGUUGCGCCAACAACUUAUGGGUAACUCUGAGAUUCACCCACAACUUGCCUGGUUAGCCAGGGGACCUGCUACCACAAUCGUCAAAUUCCAAGGCUAUGAGAUAAAUGGUUACACAUUUUACACGAGAGCCCAGGACCAGAAAAGCAUGAACCAGAAUAGUGGUGUCCGCAUAGAUGCCAUGGACAGAAAUAAUAGCAAGGAGUCGUAUUAUGGUUUCAUACAGGAGAUAUGGGAACUCGAAUACGGACCGCUGUACAUCCCUCUAUUUCUUUGCAAUUGGGUGAAGCUAACUACCGUCACCAAAGAUCAGUACGGAAUGACAAUAGUAGAUCUGAGCAAGACUGGAUACAGUGAUGACCCAUUCGUACUUGCCAAUGAUGUGCAUCAGGUGUUCUAUGUGAAGGACAUGUGCAGCAAACCCAAGAGGAAUCCAGAAGAGACAUGGGAGCCAAAGUGCCACAUAGUUCUUCCAGGUAAAAGAAAAAUCGUGGGAGUCGAGGAUAAAACAGACCAAUCAGAUGAUUAUGAUCAGUUUGAUGGCAUGCCUCCAUUCGCCGUUGAAGUUGAUCCAAGCAUCCUGCUAUCCAAAUAAGAGGCUCCGUACUUACGCCGCGAUCAUGAUCAAGGAACUUUCGUGAAGAAGAAAUUUUACAACAUUGUAUUGUAAUGCGUUAAAUGUACAUGAUCUUUGUGUAUUAAUUGAUACAAUUUGUAAUUUACCCUAUGUAUGAUUUCAUGUCUUCUUAAAUUUCUUAGGUGAAGAUUUUAUAGAUAAACAUGAACAAUGUUAACCACAAACAAACAUGGAUUUUUUUGCGCAUUGAAAUUAUUUAAUUGAAUAAUUUCUUGAUCACAACAAUGCAGUAAAAUAAAUAUUUUAGAGGCUAAAUGAACUGGUAUAGAAUUCAUGAUUAAUUCAUACUUAUUGUCAAUUUACUCGUUAAUUAAAUAUAUUUUUGCAUGUACAAAAUCUGUGAAGGUUUUGUUUUUCAUCCUGAAAUGCAGUGAAAAGAUAAAAUAAAAUCCAUUUCCAAAAAAUAGGCGGGAGAAGAAAAGUAGGAAAAAAGACCUUUUGUCUCGGGUGCUAACAGCAACCGGGACAAAAGGCCCCCCUUUUAUCCCGGUUGCAAACUGCAACCGGGAUAAAAGGGUACUUUUCGUCUCCCGCCCCGACGUACCCUUUUAUCCCGGUUGCCAACUGCAAUCGGGAUAAAAGGCCCCCCCUUUUAUCCCGGUUGGUGGUGGCACCUGGGAUAAAAGGGUACGCUCCCAGCCCUACCUGGCGGGGGCACCCUUUUGUACCGGGUCCCGUCACCAACCGGGAUAAAAGGCAACCGGGAUAAAAGGCCUUUUAUCCCGGUUGGUGACGGGACCCGGGACAAAAGGCCCUUUUGUCCCGGGUGGCAUUACGAACCGGGAUAAAGGGGGGGGGGGUUAAAAGGCACUGUACUCCCUUCUACCCCCCGCCAGUUACACUUAGCCAAAUUUUCGCCUAGUCCCGCGCGUUCUCCGCCGUCGCCGCCCGUCCGCCUCCCUCGCCGGCCGCCGCCGUCGUCGUCCCCCAUUGCACCGUCGACGUCCCCCAUUGCGCCGUCGUCGUCCCCCGGCCGGCCUGCCUCGAUCCCCUCCUCGUCCGUCGACGCGCCCGGCCCCCGGCCGCCUCGUCGCCUCCGGCCACCGGCUCCAUCCUCGUCGCCGGCUGCAUCCUCGUCGCCCCUCGUCGCCCCUCGUCGCCGUCUCGUCGCCGUCCCACCUACGCCACCCGGCCGCCGCCGUCCCGCCGCCCCGGCCGCCGCCCCGCGCGCGAGAGGUCCGCCGCCGCGCCGGCCGGCAGCGCCGGGAGGGUUUUUUUUUUAAGUUAGAAAAUUAAGUUAUAUUUUUAUGAUAGAUUUUUAAUUUUGAUUGUUAAGCUAGAAAAUUAAGUUAUAUUUUUAAGUUAGAUUUUUUAGUUAGUUUGUUAAGUUAGAUUUUUAAGUUAGAAAAUAAAGUUAGAAAUUCGUAGGAUGCACCGCCGUCCCCUCCGCCGUCCUGCCGCCGUGACCGCCGCCGUCCCGCCGCCCGUCACAACCUAGUAGACACCGCCCGUGGUUCCGGGGAACCGUCCCCGCCUCCGCCGUACCGCCGCCGUGAUCGCCGCCCGUCACAACCUAGUAGGCACCGCCCGUGGUUCCGGGGAACCGUCCCCGCCUCCGUCGUACCGCCGCCCUCAGUGCCGCCGUCACAACCUAGGCAGCGCCCGUGGUUCCAGGGAACCAUCCCCGCCUCCGCCGCCCUGAUCGCCGCCGUUACAACCUAGGCACCGCACGUGGAUAUUGUUAGAAAUUCGUAGAAAUUCAUAGAAAUUCGUAGAAAUUCGUCAAAAUUCGUAGAAAUUCGUAGAAAUUCAUAGAAAUUUGUAGAAAUUCAUAGAAAUUUGUAGAAAUUUGUCAAAAUUCGUAGAAAUUCGUAGAAAUUCGUAGAAAUUUGUAUAAAUAUUCCGGACUUUGUAGGAUUCAUGUUAUUUUAUGAUUUCAUUAUAUACAUUAUGAUUCCGGACUUUGUAGGACUUUGUAGAAAUUUGUAGUAAGAUGAUUUCUAUGACUGUCAUGUAUGAUUCCAUGUAUGUUUCCAUCAAUAGUUGAAAUGGCAGACGAUGAGACCGCAAGGUAUAUCAUGGAGCAGAUAAUCGCUGGUGAUGGUAGUGGCGACAACAUUCCACUAUCAUACAUGGAUGAAGAGGGCACCCAGGCGGACAUGUUCCUCAACAUGUCCGCCGAUGGGAAUGAAGAGCAACAGCCGCAGCAACAACUUGCCGUGGUGGAAGGUUCCGGCGAGGUAUAUGUUGGCGCUAGAAAUCGGUCAACCGAAUCCCAGCGACCGACACACGACCCGGGAGAAUCUGCUUAGCUCCUGUUCGGGUGAAUGCCCUGGUGCAGUUCGCGCAGCGUGCCAGCCAAUCUGACCUGUUGAUUGGCAAGGAAGAAUACGUGUCAGGUCCAGAAAUCACGAUCGGCUAAGUUUCCGAUCGAGAGAAUUUAUCAACGAAUCGGCCGAUUUACUGUAGUAAUGAAAUCGGCUAUAAGACAGCCUGAUCUCUGUAGCCUUGUAGACAAGGAAUUACUAAAGUAAUCGAUACAAAGCUAUGAUAACAACACUAGGAACAGAUCUAAUCGGCAAUAGAUGAAUUUAAUAACAGAAUAUAGAAAGAGCCGAAACUACCGAUUCCUAGCUGGAUAACUGGUGAUAAAGACUAGAAAAAUAGGUAAAACCUAUGGAUCUAGCAAAUAUCGAUAACUAGUGAAUAUAUCUAAACGAAACAACAGCGAUACGCCCGAAGUUAAAGCUUAGAUAUUACUCGAUAAACGGAACUUACAGAAUCGGCCGGAGAUCAAGAUGAUGCAGCCCUGCCAACCCGCAUGAACUCGUGAGAAGAGAAAAGUAAUGGCGAAGUCGCCUGCUUGAAAGUAAGUACGAAGAAAAAGUAGCUUGUUGUAUUGAUUGGUUGAUGAUUACAGAUUUACAAAGGUAGCUAUUUAUAGCCCCAUACAGAUAUCUUCUUAACCGACUAGAAUUCUAUCCCUAAUUCAAACAGAAAACGAAUAUCUACAAGCAUGAUUCGUGCUAGGUUAGUUACUCCACGCUUCGUGGGCUGAUUUCCAGCUCACCCUUCUAUUCCAAGCCCAUACAGGCCCAAUUAACCCAUCCUCCUAAUCGGCCGAUUCCUCAUCGGCAAAAGGCUACCGAUUGGGACUCUGGUAUAUUCGACCCGAAACGAGACAGAAGUCACCGGCCGAUCUCACACUGUAGCACCACUUGGCCGAUUCCCAAUUGUGCUCCUCCGAUUCCCUCUCUUCUUGGCGCCGAUUCUACUAGUGACGAAAUCUGGCGUCAACACAUGCCCCCCAGUUUCGGAGUAAAACAUAGUCUUUUACUUCGAAAUUCUUUAUAACCUCCCUUCCGAAACGGCCGCAGUGAAAAUAUCCCUCCGUUUCGCGGUCUUCCAGCUGAUCAUUGCAAUUUUUCGAAACGGGCGCCCACGACAGCCACUACUCCCGAAAAACUCGAAACGCCGGCGCGGUGAAAAUUCCAUUUUUACCCCCCUUCAGGCAUCCUUUAAAUAGCGCUUCACCCGCACCUCAUCUUCAAGCUCACGUCUCUUUUCCCAGUGCGCGCGCCUUCUUCCUCCUUCAGCAUCUUUCCCUUGCCGCCGAAGCUUCCUAGCUCCACCUCCUGUUACUCUUCCCUCUUCUCUUUCAAUGGCGGCUCCUUCCGGCAGCUCUCCCGCAUGCGAUGUCCCAGAGGUAGCGCCUCCGGCGGUGGUAGCGACAGCCGUCGCUCCAUCCACAGAAGAAGGAGCUUCAUCGGAGAUCCCAAUGGCGAUCCCCAUCACGGCCCCGUUGUCCGCAUCCGCACCGGCAACCACGCCGAUCACUCAGAACUUCAUCCCAGAGGUAAAUACCGAAUCCUUCUCCUAUCGGCAAUUAAUUUACCUUAGAUCUGUUUCUUACUUUUUACACCCCCUUUUCCUUUUUUAGGCAGUUAGGCAUCGCAUUACCAUUCACCUUACGGGAAAUCCCGGCCUUAUUUGUCUCGGACCUAUGGGAAACCCAGAUCCAAUAGAGCUUAUUAAUUUGGAAACCCACAGGAUACCCUUCAAACUGUCUAAUAUGGACUUAGAUCAGUGGCUGGGUACUUUUAGAUCUUGGCCGAAUGAAACCCCAGGUUGGAGGGAGUGGUACCAAUGGAUAGCCGCAUCAAAGAGCGUCUCAUGGGAAGAGCUCAAAAUCGGCCAGUGCAUCAACCUUUCCUUAUCCCAGAUGGAGAAAAAUGAGCCGUUAGUAAUGGCGGCUUCUUAUUUUUGGUCUGAUGCACUUAAUGCCUUCUUAUUUGGGCACGGUCCUAUGACCCCAACACUGGCCGAUGUGGUCCUGUUGACCGGCCUCGACAUAUCCUCCCCGGACACACCCUAUCACCUUUUAACCACAACGUCACAUCGGCUGGACACAAGGGGAAUCGGCGGGUGGAAGGGUUUCAUCAAAAGUAAUAAGAGGACCGGGACUGUUGAGAAUAGGGAGCACACAGCUUUCCUGAUGAUGUGGCUAGAAAAGCACUUCUUUUGCGGAAGAGCCGCCGGCCCGACAACCAAUACCCAGGCCUUAGCUGAAGCACUGUCCAAGGGAAACCAUGUCCCUCUUGGGAAACAUCUGCUAGGGGCCGCGUACCACAUGCUACAUCAAAUCGGCAUAAGACUAUCCAAGGGAGAGCCGAUCGGCAAUCAAGGCGGGCCCUGGUGGUUCAUCAACUUGUGGUUGAACCUUUAUAUGAGCAGAAUUACUCAGCAGCCGGUGGAUCGCAUGACGUUCCCCAACAUCGAAUCGGUAGAAGACCCUACCGAACGUCGCCGAUGUAUGUCCUUUGGUGAAGCGGCAUCGGCUUUUCCAGGUUGCAUGUAUUCUGCUACAAAGGUAGCCGAGUACUUUCGAUGCUUCUAUAAUGGCUUUAGUGAAGAUGCAACCAUUUGGUUUCCGUAUUAGCGAGACGACCCGGUCUUUGAACUCCCCACUUGCUUCGAUUCGGCUUCCGGCCGAUUUGAUAUAGAGCUCUAUGAUGAGUUGAUCAAGCCAGGGCUCCUGCCAGCCAAUUUCUUCUCGGGGAAGGAUGCCCCUACGUACGAAUUCUACAACCCCUCCGCUGCAGCACGUCAAUUCGGCAUGGGUCAGCUGCCGAUUCAAGUGUACUUUGCUGGCCGAAUCAAGUUUAGGGAUGAGCUCACAUCUGGUCUGGAUUACAGUUGGUUACGAGACCGAAUCCCGGACUCCAGUACAAUUGACCUGAACGACUGGCUAGUAGCUCCCUUUGCUGUUCAGCCGUUCAAACUCUGGUGGGCCGAUUGGAAGCAAUUUCUUUUCUGCAACUCGGCAUCGGCAUACUGCAACCUUCUGGACCCAGCCAACAUCGACCCGAACGUCGAGGUAUUUCACUUAGCCAAUUUUUAUUCCUCUCAACAUGACUAAGCACUAAUGAUUUUAUUAUCUUUUCAGGCCGAGAAUCGAACUCCUCCAACACACAGCCGCAGCGGACGGCUAAUAGAAAGUCACCCAUACACAACUUAUCCUCUUAUCGGCUAUGACGCUCCGUCUGUUGACGUGAUUGCUGGCCGAUCAAAACAAGUCCAUAAGAGGACUACCAAGAAAACCAUUCGCCGAGUCCGAGCUCGUGUAGAAUCGGCAGAUCCCCCUGUGCUCGUAUCGGCAAAGACCCUGGCCGCACCACCUUCUCAGGUCAUCCAAGAUGCCGAUACCCAAGCCGUUGCGCAAGCUGGAACAGCCGCCGCGUCGUUGUUGUUGGAGGCCAUACAGGUAAACCUGAAUUUUACUGCUUCCGAUUGUUAUUCUGAUAUUAACCCUUCUUAUCCUUAGACUGCACAGAGCACCCCUAUGGAAAUACAACAAUCGGCAGCAACUCAACCAGCCAUCGGCGCGCCCCCGCUUUCAUCCGUUGAGGUAUAGUACUAUUUUACUGAUUUCCUUUGGUAUUUGCAUAAUGUACUUAUUCAAUCCUCUGACACAGGCCAUCGGCACACCAAGCGCUCCUCGACAACCGAUCUCUUCUCAGGGAGCUGGUCCAAGCACCGCGCCGAUUAUUGUGGAAUCUUCUUCAUCCGAUGAACCUAUGGCGCAGGCUCCUGAGCAAGGCGUGACGGCUUCACAAGUGCAGCAUGAGGAAAUUCGCUUCAAAAUGGUAAGUUUUGUUUCGGCUUCUAUCCAGCCGAUUUGCUUUUACUUCCAGCCGAUUUAUUUCUUUUCUUUAUUAUCUCCAGGAACAGGACACCCCCGACAACAGCCUCUUUUCUUUUGCGGUCGCCCUUUCCGACGACGAAGAGGUUGCCUCUCGCCAAGUUGCCUUGAGCUCCGUCCCUGAUGACAUCCGAGCCAAACUUUCCAGCAUCCGAUCCCUCCUUCAAGGGGACAUCGGUCGACUAGUAGAAGAUGCUUCAUCGAUUCGGCAGCUCUUCAAUGACAUCAGCGGACGAGUACCAGAAGAGGCGGAGGAAGCCCUGGCACCAGCGGCCUUCAUCGAGUCUAUGAGGAUCCCAGUCUUCAGGGCUCUUCGUCAUAUGGCCGAUCAUGCCAAGCUUGCCAAGACUCGUGAAGAGGAGGACGCGUUCAAGCGUCAGGCUCAAGAGGCACAUCGGCGCAUCCAUGUUCUGGAAGAUUCUCGCCCGGCGAUCAUCGGUGAGAUAGACCGCCUCAAGCGUCGGAGGGCGGAACUUGCCAAGGAGAUGGAGCAAGUGACUAAAGCAAUCAGUGCCGAAGAGAAAAAACUCCAAGAGCUACCUUCUGUCAUUGCCGAUUUGACACGGGAGAGGCAGCGCUUUGCUCAUGAGGCCCUAAAGCUCCAUUGCAGUACAUCAGAAGUCCCCGGAUCGGCAGAUGAAGACCAACGGGUUCUUGACUCUGCCGAUCAGAUCCGGCGCCGGGCUAUCACAGCUAUCGAUACCCUUCUGGGUAAUCUGUAAAACACUGACCGUUUGUCCGAACAUUUACUAUCUUCUUUGACCGUCCCUCGCGACGCCCUUUCUAUUUAUUACCUUUCUUAUUUCCGAUGGGACGUAGCCUUACCAAAUUUCCACGCAUCUUUUUCCAUAAAUACCGACCUCGGCACUUACUCCCGAUAGUACCAAUUUGGCUUUCGGUUUUACUCUCUCCUUCCUCUUACCGGUGCGACUUUCUGCCAUGGCUUCGUCGGCUUCUUCUUCCUCUGUUAACCAGGUGCAAUCUUGCCCUCUACCUCCCCCUCUUUUUAGAUCCUAGGAAAAGAAUGUCCCUUCUUAUUCCUUCUUUGUUUCAGCCUCAACGUCUUAGCCCUGCGCUCGUGCGCGCCAUUGAGCUCAUUCACUCUGAGGACCCAUUGACGUCGGAGGAUAAGGCGCUGAUCCUGGCCCAUCGUGAGGAACUUCGAGAUCACGUCACUGCGGAGGCUCGUGUGGUCUUGGAUCUCAUGGAGAGUGACAGUAGCCGACGAUCUCCAACCAUCAGGAGCCUUCAUUGUGGCGGCCUUGAAGACGAUGUUGCCACGGCGGCCCGUACGAUUUUGGACUUUAUGGAGAGCAAUGGUAGCCGGCGACCUCCCACCGAUAGGAGCCAUCCGCUUCCUCAGCAAGUCGUUCUCGAAGACGCAGCGGCAGGAACUUCGCGCCCUCCCAUGGAUCGGAGUCAUUUUCUCCCUCGUCAAGUUGAAGCGGAGACUUCAAUGAAGGCAAUAGAAGAAGAAUACCUUCACGUCAUGAGCGAGUUGGAGCGGAACGGGAAGGCGCCCAAGAAGAAGAACAAUUAGUUUUUUGUAUUUUUUGUUCUAAGGGCGACUAAUGUUUUGUCGGCCAUGUAACCCGCCGUCCGUACCGAAUGAAUGCAAUCGGCCGAUCCGGUCGACUAUGUGUUUGAACCGAUUUGUAUUGGCUAUGCGUUUGAACCAAUUUGUAUCGGCUAAGUGUUUGAACCGAUUUGUACCGGUUAUGUGUGGUCGUGUUAUGGUCAAUUUCCUACGCUCCGACCCAUAUACUGGGGUAGUAUCUUUUUAAGUACCUUCCGUUCAGAGCUCUAGUAAAUUCCUCUCCUUCUAUUGUUUCCAAAAUGUAAGCAUUUCCUGGGGCGCAUCUGCCGAUUUUGUACGGCCCUUCCCAUGUAGGGGACCAUUUUCCGAAUUUAGGAUCCUUCGACCCAAUCGGCAAUACUAACUUCCAUACUAAGUCCCCAGGGGAGAAUUGUUUGGCUUUGACCUUUUUAUCGUACCACCUGGCUACCCUCUUUUUAUUUUCUUCAAUGCUUAUCAGAGCCCUCAAUCGUUGGCCAGCCAAAUCGUCAAGUUCCCUUUUCAUAAGUGACGAGUAAUCAUCGGCCGUUAACUGGUCCUGGAGCGAAAUACGCCUUGAUCCCGCCCUUGACUCCCAUGGCAGUACCGCAUCGUGACCGUACACCAAUUGGUAGGGAGAUAACUUGGUAGCCCCAUGACAAGCCAUCCGGUACGCCCAUAAGGCCUCUGUCAAACAUAGAUGCCACUUCUUCGGUUGUUCCUCGACUUUUCUUUUGAUCAAUUUGAUUAUCCCUUUAUUGGAGGAUUCCGCCUGACCAUUGGCUUGGGCGUAGUAUGGAGAAGAAUUUAACAAUUUGAUUCCCAUAUUGGUCGUAAAUUCCUCAAAUUUCCCUGAUGUGAACAUUGUUCCUUGAUCGGUUGUUAUAGUCUGAGGGAUACCGAAUCGGUAAACGAUGUGGUCCCUUACGAAGUCAGCCAUGAUAGCCGAUGUCACGGUUCUCAACGGGAUAGCCUCUACCCAUUUGGUAAAGUAAUCAGUAGCCACCAGAAUAAAUUUGUGCCCUUUGCUUGAUGGUGGGUAAAUUUGGCCAAUAAGGUCUAUUCCCCAUCCCCUGAACGGCCAUGGCUUAAUGAUGGGAUUCAUGGCCGAUGCGGGUGCACGCUGGACAUUUCCAAACUUUUGGCACUCCUGACAGCCCUUAUAAUAUUUGAAACAGUCUUUGAGGAUCGUUGGCCAGUAGUACCCAUUAUUCCUGAUCAUCCACUUCAUCUUAUGCGCCGAUUGGUGUGCUCCACAUACCCCCUCAUGGAUUUCUCCCAUCAGCGUCUUGGCCUCCUCUGUCCCAAGGCAUUUGAGAAGAACUCCGUCGAUCGUUCGGUAGAAUAGGUCAUCUUCGAGCAGCACGUAUUUGGUGGCAUGAAAACGUACUCGUCGCUCCACCUUUUUAGACGGAUCCUUCAGGUAGUCGGCAAUUUCUUUACGCCAGUCAUCGGCCGUGAGCUCUAGAGCCAUAGUGCCUAGAAUUAGCCGAUACCCAGACGCAUGCUGGGCAAGUUUGUUGGCGUCUUCGUUGCGGUCUCUUGGGAUGUGCUCGAUUACUGCCGAUCGGAAUUCUUUUAAAAGCUGUAAGCAAUCUUCGUAAUAAUUUCUUAAUACGUCAUCUUUGCAUUCGGACCUUCCGGUCAGUUGAUCCACAAUAAGCAUAGAAUCUCCGAAGACUUCAACGGAAUCGGCCUUGACUUCUCUCAAUAGUUGUAAGCCUUUUAAUACAGCUCGGUACUCCGCUUGAUUGUUAGUAGCGGCGGUUUCUAUCGGCAGAGAAAAAUCAUAGCUUGCCCCCCGAGGCGAUAUGAGAACGAUGCCGAUUCCUGAUCCGACCCCACAUGAUGACCCGUCAAAAUAUAAUGUCCAAGGUGCCAGCUCUACGAGGGCAAUCUCCGGUCUGCAGUGCUGGGCGACGAAAUCGGUCAUGACUUGACCCUUGACGGCUUUUGCCGAUUCAUACCGCAGGUCAAACUCUGAUAAAGCUAAGAUCCAUUUGCCGAUUCGACCUUUCAAUAUCGGCAGUGAUAGCAUGUAUUUUACUACGUCAUCUUUGCAUACGACUACACAUUCUGCCGACAGUAGAUAGUGCCUGAGUUUGGUGCAUGAGAAGUAAAGACAUAGGCAUAAACGCUCCACCGGAGGAUAUCUUGUUUCAGCAUCCAGAAGUCUUCUACUGACAUAAUAAAUUACCCGCUCCUUGCCUUCAAACUCCUGGACUAGAGCCGAUCCAAUAGCUUUUUCAUCGGCUGAUAAGUAUAGUUUAAACGGCUUACCAGUUUGAGGGGGAACCAACACUGGUGGUGAGACCAAGUAUUGCUUGAUAUCUUCCAAUGCUUUGCGCUGCUCUUCUCCCCAUAUAAAUUCCUGGUCUGGCUUUAGCUUCAGAAGUGGCGUGAACGCCUGAAUCCGUCCAGAUAGAUUAGAUAUAAAUCUUCUGAUGAAAUUCACCUUGCCGAUUAGAGACUGCAGUUCGGUUUUGUUCUGUGGGGCCACGACUUUGUUGAUGGCCGCUAUGGUCUUCCGAUUGAUCUCUAUGCCUCGUUCGUGUACCAUGAAUCCUAAGAACUGUCCGGCGGAUACGCCGAAAGCACAUUUGUUGGGAUUCAUCUUAAGACCAUGUUUUUUGGUACACUCUAGCACUUUUCGCAAAUCGGCCAGAUGUUCUUCGUGACCUUUAGACUUGACCACGACAUCAUCGAUGUAGAUUUCUACCAGAAGGCCAAUGAGUUUGUGAAAUAUGUAAUUCAUAGCUCUCUGAUAUGUAGCGCCAGCGUUCUUCAAGCCGAAAGUCAUCACCACCCACUCGAACAAACCAAGGUGGCCUGGACAUCUGAAGGCCAUUUUGGGUAUAUCCUCUUCGGCCAUAAGUAUUUGAUUGUAUCCGGCGUUUCCGUCCAUGAAGCUAAUGAUUUUAUGCCCCGCGGCCGCGUCGAUCAGUACAUCGGCCGUUGGCAUGGGGUAACCAUCCAUCGGUGUGGCCUGAUUAAGAUUCCUGAAAUCAACGCAAACGCGUAGCUUCCCAUUUUUCUUGUAUACUGGUACGAUGUUAGAAAUCCACUCGGCAUAACGACAUUGCCGAAUAAAUUUUGCUUCGAUUAGCCGAGUUAUUUCAGCUUUUAUGUCUGGUAGAAUUUUAGGAUUGCAACGCCGUGCGGGUUGUUGGUACGGCCGAUACCCUGGUUUUAUGGGUAGCCGAUGUUCAACAAUGGAUCGGUCUAAACCGGGCAUCUCGUGAUACUCCCAAGCAAAACAAUCCUUAAAUUCCUUUAAUAAAUUUGUCAAUUUACACUUGUACUCUGGAUCUAAAUUUGCACUAAUAUAAGUCGGCCUUGGUUUGGUACCAUCGCCUAAAUCUAUCAUUUCCAAUGAAUCGGCCGACGUGAACCCAUGCCCUAGCUUCCCAUCUUCUCAGGCGAACUGAUCCAUCUAUUCUGAAUCUUCGGAGCCGACUGCUCGGAUCGGCUGUAGGCCAAAAUCGGUGACCUUCAGGAAAUCGAUCUCCCAUACUCUACCUGAUAUGCACCUGACGGUUUCGCAACUCCACUGCUGCGUGUCGGCUGCCGCAAUGCUGUAUGCGGAGUCGGCUUUGACCACCUCGAUGUUAUCGCCGACCCAUUGUACGAGGCACUGAUGCAUUGUUGACGGGAUGCAGCAGUUUGCGUGUAUCCAGUCUCGGCCAAGUAGCAUAUUGUAGGAUCCCUUGCCAUUAAUAAUAAAGAAGGUGGUAGGAAGGGUCUUACUGCCGAUGGUGAGGUCGACGCAGAGAGCACCGCGAGCGUUUGAUACCUUGCCCUUGAAGUCCUUGAGCAUCAUGUCUGUCUUGGUCAAGUCGUCGUCGCUUUUCCCAAGUUUCCGGAGUACGGCGUACGGCAUGAUGUUGACUGCAGCUCCUCCGUCUACCAUCAAUCUAGUGAGGGGACGGCCAUCAACAUGCCCCUUAAGGAACAGCGCCUUCAUAUGUUGUCGUUCGUCAUCUUCGGGCUUUUCGAACAUGGCCAUCAUUGGCUCCAGGGCCAACUGCGCUGUCUGUUCUUCUAUCGCCGAUACAUCCUGUUGAUCGGCGGGAGUCAUGAAUUCCAUCGGCAAAAUGAAAACCAUGCCGAUCUCGGCCGCCGAUUCGUCCCCCGCCGACUCGUCGUUCCCUUUAUCAUUUCUUUUGGGGCGCCACACCCGAGGCCUUCCUUCCUUCUUGUCUGUCACGCUUUCUUCUUCUUGCUGUUCCAAUUGGCGGAGACGUUGGAUUCUUUGUUUUUGAGACUUGGUCAAUCCGUCGGGACACCACCUGGGGUUUAUUGGUCUUCCCCUUGACCUGGCGCGUUCCCACUCCGGUUCGCGUCCUAACGGGUUUUCAUCUGUCACCCGAGCAUCGGCCAUCUCUUUGAGCCGGCUGUGAACGCUGGCUUUGUUGUCCGACUGGUCAUGCCGAUCAGUCCUGCCCCUCUGCCUAUCAUGGCGUCUAUCUUCCGAUCGAUCAUAUCGGUCACUUCUGCCCCCCAGCCGAUCACGCACGGGAGGGCGCUGGUCAUCUUGGUUGCGCCAAUUCUUGCUGGUCGGUUCUGGCCUUCCAUCUCUGGAGCGAGACCCUUUGAACGGCCGAUUGCCACGAUAAGGACCGUUGCAUUCUGGGCAAGUAUCGGCUGAAGGUAGCCUGAGGUUGUGUUCCCAACAGUGAAUGAAGAACGGGCAUCUCAAGUGCUCCUCGUGCCGACGCAUUGCUUCUUCUCGGGACCUUGAGCGUUCAUGCUGACGUUGGUACUUCUGGAGCAGGAACUGGGAAGUAAUGCGUGGCCCUUCUGACUCACCAUCGUCGUCCUCUAUCCGCCGCUUCCCCUUGACAUCUUCAGGAGUAGCUUGAUUUCUGGGAUCGACGGCGCCACUCUUUUUGGCUAAUUCGGACGUCAGCACUUUUGUUUGGAGUGAAUUCUUCCCUGUAUCAACCAUGUUGGUAGGAAAGGGGUGUUGGUCAAUCUUCAUUGGCUUGGCCGAUUUUGCCGGCACUUCAAAUUUAAGUCUGCCUUGCUCAAUGGCCGACUGUAUCUGCUGCCUGAAGAUUUUGCACUCGUUGGUAUCAUGGGAUGUGGCAUUGUGCCACUUGCAAUACUUCAUCUUUUUUAGUUGUUCGGCAGAAGGUAUUGUAUGGUACGGCGAGAGUUUAAUCUACCCUUCCUGGAGGAGAAGGUCGAAGAUUUUAUCGGGCCUUAGUUGUGUCAAAACCGAACACUUCCGGAUCCUUUUUGCCGAAUGGGCAUGAUAUCGGCUUCUUCCCUUUGAUCCACUCCGCAAGUCCGACUUCAACAUCUUCCUCAUCCUCUAACUCUUCCAGGAACGCCACUUUCUUUUGGAAAUUCCUCCGCGGAUCAAAAGGACGUACCUCCUGUCCAAACAAUCGGUGAACAAUCUGGCUCAGACUUUCGAACUCUUGUGAAGCGUAUCUUUCUUUGAUGUGGGGCAGAAGGCCUUGAAAAGCUAUAUCGGCCAACUGUGCAUCGGUUAGAGCCAGGGAGUAGCACUUGUUUCUGAUUUCCCGAAACCUCUGUAUGUACGAGGAUAUCGGCUCAUCACUCCUUUGCCUGAGGCUGGUCAAAUCGGACAGCUUCAUCUCAUGCACCCCGGCAUAGAAGUAUUUGUGGAACUGUCUUUCUAAAUCGGCCCAUGUGAUAAUCGAGUUUGGCGGCAAUGUCGUGAACCAUUGAAAGGCUGAACCAGACAGAGAUGACGAGAACAACCGUACCCGUAGGGCGUCUUGCGUAGCUGCUUCUUCGCAUUGGAUGAUGAAUCUAUUCACGUGCUCUACGGUCGAAGUAUCAUCCAUCCCCGAAAAUUUAGUGAAGUCAGGAACUUUAUACCGAUGGGGGAACGGCAAUAGGUCAUAUGUAGAUGGGUAUGGUGUUCUGUAGGUAUAAGUUUGCACUUUUGGCUUCAAGCCGAAUUGUUCUUGCAUCACCUCCGCAAUACGUGCCGACCAAUCUGGCUGUUGCUGGUGAACUGUUGGCUGAGGUAUCGGCACGUGCUGGUAAAUCGGAGGCUGAAUAAACGGAGGCUGAUGAAAAGGUGGUAUCUGAGUGUAAGCCGGCUGUGUAGUAAAGGCUGGCUGUUUGAAUGAGCCACUCGUUUCAUCGUACAGCAUGAUCUCUGCUGUCUUGUUGAUCCCCGGAGCGACAGGCUAGUAUGGCGGCACGGUUGGCCGAAUAGCAGCCUGGAAGGAUGUCUGGAAUGGAGAGUUCACUUGACUGGCCGAUUGAUUCUGACCGGCCGUGACCGAAGGUGCCCCCCAGGGUGAUGGGUGAAUUGGGCUAACUGGAGGGAAUGGCGCAGAGGACAGUUGGAUGGAGCCAUAUCCCAUUGGAGUUGAUGACGAGGAAGCACCUGAACUCCCGACAGAAAACUGGAUCGGCUGCGAGGCCGAAUUCGAACAAUUCUGGUUUGGUGGAAUCGGCUGAAAAUAUGCCGGUCCCCUGUAUCCUUGAGGUAUGCCCCCGGCGAAGGAGUUGACAACAGCGUUGUGCACCAUGUUUGAAAGCACCGGGGACUGGUCAAUGAAAGCGUGAUGAAUAGACUGUUGAAUCAUAUCGGACAUUUUAUCCGAAUCUUCAGAAAUCGUGAUCUGGCGGGGAGCAGGGAAUGGAGUCUUCUUGAUGGUCUCCCCGCUUCUGGAGCGACUGAAAGACUUCAGGCAAGCUUUCUGGAACUGUGCCGUAUACUUGUCCAGCUCUUCCUUCUGGUCGUCCUUCAGAUCUGCUUCCGUCACCUCGAUGACGUUAUCUUCGGAGACUUCAGCAGCUUUCGACAUGAUGGCGGUUGUAUUGGUCCCACCGGGCGUGCCAAAAGUGUGUUGGCGCUAGAAAUCGGUCAACCGAAUCCCAGCGACCGACACACGACCCGGGAGAAUCUGCUUAGCUCCUGUUCGGGUGAAUGCCCUGGUGCAGUUCGCGCGGCGUGCCAGCCAAUCUGACCUGUUGAUUGGCAAGGAAGAAUACGUGUCAGGUCCAGAAAUCACGAUCGGCUAAGUUUCCGAUCGAGAGAGUUUAUCAGCGAAUCGACCGAUUUACUGUAGUAAUGAAAUCGGCUAUAAGACAGCCUGAUCUCUGUAGCCUUGUAGACAGGGAAUUACUAAAGUAAUCGAUACAAAGCUAUGAUAACAACACUAGGAACAGAUCUAAUCGGCAAUAGAUGAAUUUAAUAACAGAAUAUAGAAAGAGCCGAAACUACCGAUUCCUAGCUGGAUAACUAGUGAUAAAGACUAGAAAAACAGGUAAAACCUAUGGAUCUAGCAAAUAUCGAUAACUAGUGAAUAAAUCUAAACGAAACAACAGUGAUACGCCCGAAGUUAAAGCUUAGAUAUUACUCGAUAAACGGAACUUACAGAAUCGGCCGGAGAUCAAGAUGAUGCAGCCCUGCCAACCCGCACGAACUCGUGAGAAGAGAAAAGUAAUGGCGAAGUCGCCUGCUUGAAAGUAAGUACGAAGAAAAAGUAGCUUGUUGUAUUGAUUGGUUGAUGAUUACAGAUUUACAAAGGUAGCUAUUUAUAGCCCCAUACAGAUAUCUUCUUAACCGACUAGAAUUCUAUCCCUAAUUCAAACAGAAAACGAAUAUCUACAAGCACGAUUCGUGCUAGGUUAGUUACUCCACGCUUCGUGGGCUGAUUUCCAGCUCACCCUUCUAUUCCAAGCCCAUACAGGCCCAAUUAACCCAUCCUCCUAAUCGGCCGAUUCCUCAUCGGCAAAAGGCUACCGAUUGGGACUCUGGUAUAUUCGACCCGAAACGAGACAGAAGUCACCGGCCGAUCUCACACUGUAGCACCACUUGGCCGAUUCCCAACUGUGCUCCUCCGAUUCCCUCUCUUCUUGGCGCCGAUUCUACUAGUGACGAAAUCUGGCGUCAACAGUAUAUAUAACCAUUCUUGUAUUGUUUCACGCCACCGUUACUACUACGUCCUAAUUAACGAAUCUUGAACUGUUAGCCCUCCGGAUGGACACAAGGGCAGAAGACCCGAGGUCGUACAAAGGUGAUGGAAGGGAGGCUUGUCAUCACGGAAGUGACAGAAGAGGGCAGGCCGGUUGCUCCCGAGAAAGUAGCAAAGAAGUAUAUGAGUCAGAUCGGGGCAAUCGUCCGGGACAACGUGCCUAUCAGCAUCAGAGAAUGGAAGGGCAGAAGCACUAAUCCGUACGCCCUUCCAGAGACAGAAAAGAAUAUGCUGUGGGAAGACGUGAAGAGACAUUUCACAUUCCCCGAAGGAUAUAGUGAGAAGGAUGUCAAAGCGUGGACGCUUAAGAAGAUGGCUACUCAAUUCCAGACAUUCAAGAAGAUGCUGGAUACCCACUACAUCAAGAAGGGCCGAACUCCAGACUUCAACGCGUGGCCAAAGUUGAGGGACCACUGGGAUGCAUUUGUUGAAUAUAAGAGGAGUGAAGAAGGUGUGAAAAAGAUCACGACCAACACAGCAAAUGCUAGUCAGAAGGGCUACCACCAUCAUUUGGGGCGAGGUGGGUAUGGCUCAGCAAUUCCCAAGUGGAGGAAGAUGGAACAAGAUCUGAUCGAACGGGGAAUCGUACCUGCAACUAUUGAAUGGCCCGAACGAUCAAAAAAUUGGUACUACGCUCAUGGAGGCUCCCUAAGCCAAGAGGAUGGGAUGUUGAAUAUUAAUGACACAAUACGUGAGAAGGCCGAACAUCUCAUGAAGAACAUUGAAGAUUCUAAGGCUGGGAGGUUGAAGGUGGACCGAGAAAAUGAUGAGCUCACAUUGGCCCUCGGUAAUCCAGAGCACCCAGGACGUUGCCGAGGGUUCGGGGUGGUUCCGUGGAAGUUCACUUUCCGAGGCGACAGCACCUCGUACAGAAGCCGGAAGCGAAGAAAGGAACAGAUCGAGGAGAGCUGGCGGCAGAUGCUAGAACAAAGAAUGAUGGAUGAAAUCAAUCGGCGGGUGGCCCACGCAGUUGCGGAGUUGGCCCAAUCUGGAGCAUUGCCGAAUCCUAACACCGCCAGCCCUUCUCAACGCCUCUUGAGCAGUUGUGCUUCUACAGGGGUCCCCGAUGCGCAGACGCCCAGGUUACCCGUGGAGGAGCAACGGUUCCCCGUGGAUGCCAUCACACAACGGACCUCAUGUGAGCUGCAUGCACCGGUAGGCAACCUCACUAUUAAGGUAUACUUAUACAUAAUAUUUAUGCAAUCUUGUCAAUUGAUCCAGGCCUCGAGAUCGGAGUUCAACUUGUUUACUUCUGCUAUAUGUACAGGUAGCGUACGGGAGUGCGUUAGCAACCCUGGCGGGGCAGAGCAGUCAUGGCAUGGAAAUUCCAACAGGCUACGCCAGCGUCUGCGUAGAGCAAAUAGUUGAUCCCCAGUAUGAAGGUCUAGAGCUCGACUUCCCGGGAGGCGACGGGGAAAAGACAUUGGCAGAUGCGCUUCAUGGGAUAAUUCUAUGGAAGAAAUGCUACAUCAUUAUUCCCGGCACGGAGCCAUCUCCUCAGACCUCAAGACCGCUCCCCGUAGAUCCCCAGCAGCGACCUUCUCCUCAUACCUCGAGACCGUCAUCUCCUGCUCCAGGACCGUCCCUUCCAUCUAUAUCAAGGUCUCCAUCUCCACCACAUCCUAGUGCUGGGAGCGACGACGACAAUAACAACACCCCUCCCCGAUCACCGUCGCCGGCACCAAGAGCGGCCCCCUUGAAGGAACAUGCACCACCACUAAAGAAGUCACGAGCACCGCCUCCCAAGCAAAGACAGAGAAAGAAGAAAACAAAGGAGCCUGAAGUGACUCGUAAGGAACGCUUUGAGGCAAUGUAUCAUGCAGAACAGUGGGCAGAAAUCCAACGAGAGGCCAGUGAGUGGUUCAAGAAACAAGCCGAAGAAAAAAAGGCAAGGGAGAUGGAGCCACCGCCAGUAAGUCGGCGAGAUUUAAACUUUUUUAUCAGGAUGGAAGAAGGAGCCAAGAAAAGGAUACCACUCUUGUCAAACUAUGAACGGGCUCUAGUAAAGGCUGAUGAAAAGGAUAAAAGGAAAGGAAAGUCAUCUUCCAGCGGUCCAGUCCCCGACCUCAGCCAUUUAUCAAAAAAAGAUGCUCAACAGGUAAAAGCAAUGCCCUUGGAUCAACAAGCAAAUGUAUUGAAGUUCAUGGAAGAAACAGGUCUGGGACUUGAUGAAUGCAUAGGGCAAGUUGAGACGCCAACUGCACCGCCCCCUGAGCCGAAGUGGCCUUAUGAGCUAGGAAAACCUCUAGUAAAGCCUUCAUUGGUACGGAAGCUAUCAACAAAGAUGUACGCAUUCCAUCAAUGGUACAUGAUGGCAUCCGUCGACUCGAGGGAGAUGAUCGGCAUGAAGGUAAAACCGAUAGAUUUUCACGGUGAAGGGGAGAAAGUGAUGUGGCUAGACUUCAAGGAUAUAUACGAAGUGUACCAUCAUGAUGCCCUGGACGUCUCUCUGAUCAGCGCUUGGAUUCUGUAAGUGUCCGUUUAUCUCUACAUGUAAAUUUUGGCGUACAUCACCGUACUAACUUCAUCUUCCAUUUCAUGUAGGAUGCUAAUUCAGACAUGCCGCCGAGAGGCGUACCUACAUAUAGGCUUCAUGGAUCCAUCUGUAGUUAACCAACAACAGAUACAAUUAGCGCCGGAAAAAACCUUUGCGGAAAUAUACAAUUUCCUAGACAAACAAACAUUCAAGGAUUUCAUACUACUUUCAUACAACUUCAAGUAAGUGUGUGUAUACCGUCUACUUUCGAUGUCUUUUUCCUUAUCUCUACAUGUUAGUUAGCUCUAAUAUGCAUGAACAUUUUACGCACGCAGCUUCCACUGGAUCCUUAUUAUAAUUGAGCCUGAAAGAAGCCACGUCACUGUCUUCGAUUCGUUAAGGAAAGAUCCGGUGGACUACCAAGAAUUGCAAAACAUGCUAGGCUUGUAAUAAUUCUGGACCUUUAUCUCUAUGCAAAAAUUUAUUUCCUAAAUUUUAUCCCUGUUACACUAUAUCAUUCAUUAUUCUAAUCCGCAGCGCAUGGAAACAAUUCAUAAGGACACACAAAGGUCCAUUCAAAGAAAAACUUACAUGGAACACAGACUUCCCGGUACGUAUGCAGUCUGCACAUUUAUUACAUUGUAUAACACGAAUAUUUCAUAACUUAUUUUUUUCCGCACUGAAGUGCUUAAGACAGGAACCCGGGAAUAAUCUAUGUGGCUACUACAUCUGUGAGCACAUGCACAGUUUUAUGGGACCCAAGGGACCGAAGAUGACGCCGCACAACUUUAAAGUACGUAAAAUAAAACUAUUACUAGUUAAUUAUUUUCUAGCUCCUUAUAUGUAUUUGUUCAUGUAACAUUCACAAAUUUCCAAAUUAUAGAUGUUAAAUAUUCAACAAGGACUCUUGAAGGAAGAAAGAGUAGCGGCAAUAUGUGAAGGUCUCAUUGGAUUCAUAAUGGACGAGGUGGUAAAUCCAAAAGGAGAAUUUUAUUAUGAUGGACGACAAUUAGACACUCCGAUCAGCAACACCACGACGGGAAGAUUGUAGGAAGAUACUUUGAUUUAUUUGUAUAUAUAAUACGCGCUAAUUAUGAUCGAUUUGUACUAAGCUAGUUGAAUUGUGUAUAUGAAUUGUGUAUAAGGAUUGUGUAUAUAUAUAGUAAUUGUAUAAUUACAAAUCCCAUUCGUUUAAAUACUAGUUGAUUUCGUUCUAAAAAAAUCUCAACUACUAAAGGUUAACAAAUUAAAAGGGCCGCGGUACUACGUAUACGUGAUGCAUGCAUGAAAAAUUCAGGCGUCACGGCAGUGCCAUGCAAGCGUCAUUUAGUCCCGGUUGGAAUCCAGCCGGGACUAAAGGGUAACCCUUUAGUCCCGGUUGGUGACACCAACCGGGACUAAAGGGGGACCUUUACUCCCAGUUAAAAGACCCAGGACUAAAGACCCCCCCUUUUGUCCCGGUUGGUUUAUCCCGGAUGGAUUUUCGAGAGAUAUGUACCCUACCAACCGGAACUAAAGGCCAAUAUUGGUAAGCUUUCAAACAACCUUCAAGUGCUAGGGUUAGGACAAACAACUUGUCAGGGAUAAUUCCCACCAGCUUUGGGAACCUUACUGGCUUAACAAAACUUUAACUUAGUUACAACAAUCUCAAUGGUCCAAUCUUAGAGUGGGUUGGAAAUAUGAAGGAUCUUGGAGCUAUAGUUCUUGAUGCAAAUAACUUCACUGGUUUGAUUCCGUCUUCUAUGAGUAAUCUUACAAAAUUGACUCUGCUCUCUCUUACAAAAUGAAUUCGAAGGUCCAAUAUCACCAUGUCUGGGAAGUCUGCCACUUCUUACAUAUUUGAACCUUAGUUAUAACAAUCUGCAGGGUAACAUUCCUAAGGAAAUAUUCCAUCCCGAGUCCUCAAUAACCACAUGCGUGUUAUCCUACAAUAAGUUAGAAGGUCCAAUUCCUCCAGAGAUUUCUAAUCUUUGACGACUGACGGAACUAUAUCUUUCAUCCAAUAAGCUUAGUGGGGAAAUUCCUUCAACCCUAGGAAAUUGCAAAGAGUUACAGAUCAUUGAAAUAGAUUGUAACUAUCUCCAGGGGAGCAUUCCGUUGACUUUUAAUGGUCUAAAGAGCAUGACCUUGCUAAAUCUUUGACACAACAAUUUGUCAGGCUUCAUCCCAACAAAACUGGGUGACUUACCAGCUGCAACAAAUUCCUCACCCAGCUGGAUCUAUCUUACAAUAAUCUGCAAGGCGAAGUACCCACAAAUGGAGUAUUUGGAAACGCCAAAUUUUUCUCACUUCUUGGCAACUAGGGACUUUCUGGAGGAGUGCGGGAUCUACAUAUGUGCCCAUGUGCUACAGUCAUGGAGCAAAGAAACACGAUACUACUACCUGAUCAGGUUACUCAUCCCGGCAUUUGGAAUCAUGUCACCCAUAAUGUUGAUCUAUGCUGUAAUCCCACAGAAAAAGAAGUCAACAACAAGGUACUCAUUGUUAUUUUAUUUUGGUAAGAAAUUCCCUAUAGUUUCUUACAAGGAUCUAGCUCAAGCUACAGAAAACUUCUCAGAGUUCAACCUGAUUGGGAGGGGUAGCUAUGGUUCAGUGUACAGAGGAAAGUUAACUCAAGCUAAAAUGCAAGUGGCUAUCAAGGUUUUUGAUCUUGAGAUGAGAUUUGCAUACAAAAGCUUUGUAUCAGAAUAAGAGGUCGGGUGGGCCGCAGCCCACUCUAAGAUUUGGUCCAAAGAACCCAACGUAAGAAAUCGGUGCUCGAUAGCCUAAGAGGGGGAGGGGUGAAUUAGGCAACUUAAAACCUUAACAUGUGGCUUCAACUACAAAGCAUCAAAAAAUAGACUAAAUCAUGCUAUGCAGAUAUGCAUCUAUGGUUGAUCUAGUGAAAACUUCCCACCCACGAAGAGUUUUACAACUUAGAGCCAAUCCUAUCAAGAUAUUACUCUAGAAUAUAAGAAAUGCAAAAAUGUAUAAAAGUGGGUUAGGAACGAUGCAAACUCGGGACGACGAUUUAUUCCGUAGUAUCGAUAGGAAAAUGACACCUCUAGUCCACUAGAGCUCCACCGAGGAUACGCUCCUGGACACCAAAUCUCUCUCGAUCAAGGUCUUGGACCCACCACAAAGGCUCUCACCAAGCCAGAUGAGAAGCUUGCCAUGAAGGAAAGCUAACCACUCCCUCUCUUCCAUUCACCAUGGCGCCGUCUUUACUACAUAGCUUCUCUAUGAAGGAAGGGUUCUCCCCGUCCCCCGCACACGAUCGUUGUUAUUGAUCCACAUCAAGCUGGAGAGUCGAAGACUUGCCAGCGAGCCACCAAAGGCCCGAGGCGCCAGCACACCAAGCUUACAAUGGUGGUUCACUCCUUGAACCAAUCACAAGGUAGCAACACCUUGAACUCACUCUCUCUAGAUGUAUCCUAGCACUAAUCACUCUCGAAGCAUGUGCUAAACCUUGUAUUAUCACUUUUUGCACUUUUGGUGGGAUGGAUGUGUUCUUGAUGAGUCUUGAUCUUGAAUGAACUCUUGGACACUACAGCAAUUUCAAAUGGGCGAGUAGAGGGGGUAUAAAUAGCCCAUGGACCUCAAAGACCCAUUGAUCCAACGACUAGUAAAAUCUGUGAGCAUCGGAUGAUCCCAUGGUCACUUUAGAUAGGCAUCGGAUCAUCCGGUGCCCCUUGCUAAUGCAUAUAGCCGUUGGACCCCCUGCCCAAAAUUACUCCGAUGCUUCAUCCAAUGGGCAUCGGAAUAUCCGAUGCUGAGGACUUUUUCACCUAAAACCUUCUGGAUGAUUUCAAAGUAAAUAUGUUUAGUCCGAUGCCUCCAACUUCUGACCAUCGGAACAUCCGGUACUAUAGGAUUUUCUCCAUCUUCUUUGCGCAUUGUUCCGACGCUUGUAAAAAGAACCUCGUCAUAUCAUUCGGUGCUUACUGCAACUCAAGCUGAUUUCUCAAUUGUACUAAUUGCUUAGAUGGUUGCUCUAGUGGACCGUCGGAUCAUCCGGUGCUUCAUAUUUUUCUGAGUUGAAUAUCGCAAUUUGCACACAAAAAUACCAUCACUUGGAUUUCUAUCAUUUAAACACUUUGAAUACCAUAGAAUGAUCCAGAUAUUUAUGAAUUGGACACUUGAAUAUCAUGAUUUGGACCUUUUGCCAUGAUUUAGUUUGCAUUCUUAGGAUCCAGAAAAUCUAAGGUACAUGCUAGUCAAAGCAUUAGUUUGUCACUCAGUCAUUAAAAUCACAAAUUAUAACCUAAUAGGACCAUGUUCCUUGCAAUCCAGCUCCUAGAUUUUCCCAUCCGCUGAGACGCUGACAGAGCCAGCCACGAAGCCAGCACCCACGACUCAUGGUAAUCAUGGUAAUAAAAAGGAUCAAGUUAAUGAUUUGAUCUAGUGGCUUGUCAAAUUUUUUGCAUUGUUGGACCACUCUAACUUGAAAUCCUAGAAAUUCUCACUAAAAUCAGAAACAUCAAAUAUUAAUCGUGCAAACUCUAAUAAUUAUAAUCAUUGAUCUAUAAUAUUUUAUAAAAGGUUACCUACCAAACAUAUUCUAAAAUAAACCCUAACCCUAUAUCUAAAUUAUCGAGCUCUGCAAUUAUAAAAAACUAAUCUAAAGUAACCUCCAUAAUCUUCGUCCAAUUUAUUUAUACAUAUCAUUAUAAAGUAUAACUUCAAAUGUUACUCUAAAUUUGUAUCUAAGUUACCCACGUCUAAAUUUGUAUCUAAGUUACCCACGUAUGUUCUUAUUAAAAUAAUCUAAAGUAAACACCUAAAUCUUAAUCUAAUUAUCUUCAUGUGUGUCAUUCAAAAAAGUCCAAAAGUAAACAUUAUGAGUGUUAUUAUUAAUAUAGAAAUACUAAGUUAAGGUAUAUACGCAUGAUGAGUGUCACCAUGUAGACAAUCUGUACAUGUAUGUGGAGAUGUGAUACAAAAUGAAAAAAAAGUGUGAAUGUGGAUAAAAAAUAUAUAGAGUAAUUAAUAAUUAAAAAUAAUCAUAAGACAUAAGUAUACAUAUCAAACGCCUGUCUCGAUCGCUUGGCUUCGUGCCGAAACCAGCUAGCUAAACAGUAAACACCUUUGCCGUCGGGGCUGGCUCCACAAGGUGGCAGUUGUCAGUUGUGCUGUUCGAUCUCCAUCCCACGCUGGCAGGUAGGACACCCGUGAGGCGAUGAAUCGUGACGCGAGCUUCGACGGGCCGCUAGCUUCGACGUACGAGUACAGCGAGCAGUGGCUGGAAUUUUGCAAUUCCUUCGGUUGGGUUGGGUGGUUUUGUGCGGGAUCGGCAAUGGUGACAACUGGACGAGCUGUUUGUGUUGGCUUUGUGCAAACUGCUCUCAAGUACAUUACAUUCAUCUUCUAAUGAUCAAUUUACUGAGUUUGCUGUCGAAGAUGGGCUAACUACUUGGUGAUGCAAUCACAACGCAUGCAAAAGAUGUGUUUCAACUUGCACAGCCACCACCUUGCUGAUGGUGAUUUAGCUAAGUUUCAACUUGAAAUUUCAAACUUCCGAAAAAAAUGCAGCAAGAUCGUAUCUAUGACGCUUGACUCUUUGCAGAAUACUUACAGUUAUCUGGUCCUCAAUUGGAAUAAAUUUUGUUUGCAUAAAAAGUAAAGUGCCACAUUUUCACCUUCAUAGAACUAAUUGUCUCACUAGAUAUUUCUCCAAUUAAUAAUCAACAUUGUACGAGACCCCUACGAAGCACGGCAUUGUAUAGACUAUUCUUGUCGAGAUCGGAUACAUAAAAGUUGACUUGACGCGCUACCCGUUCAAAGAUAACCCAUGAACGAAUCAUGGCCACACGAUACAUUCUGGAAGCGCGAUCAUUACAAAGAUCCAAAUCGGAUUUGAAAACGAAAAUCCAGCGCCGGUAGACCAUUCCACGAGCUGAAUUUUAUCGUCAUCGAAACCGCACUAGACAUGUAGCACGCAUCAGCCCGGAAUAUCUCUGUCCAUUUCCUGCAGAAAAGUACCCUGCGAUUCGAGGCUGGACACGCCGCAACAAUCUUGUCCAGCUCAGACAGUGACGGCCGCACUGUUGAGAAGAUCGAAGCUGUGAAGUGGCGAUAACCGGCGAGUUUGACGGACUCGGGGUCUUCGCUCCAACGCCGUCAAGCUAAGAUAAGAUAUGAUGAUGAUGCAAGUGUGUGGAUUGUAAUACCGCUGUAAGACUGUUUUUAAACCCCUGGGGCCUGAGACAGUUGUGCAUCCAACUUAAGCACUAGUGGUCUCCGUUUCAGCCAUUCCUGAGACCAUCCAAACAGUUAGGUCAGGCAUAAGAGGACAUCAAACGCCUGCCUGGAUCGCUUGGCUCCAUGCCGAAACCAGCUAGCUAAACAGUAAACACCUUUGGCGUCGUCGAUCGGGGGCUCACCCCUGCACAAAUACGGCAGUGCUGUUCGAUCUCCAUCCCACGCUGGCCGGACGCCCGUGAGGCGAUGAGUCGUGUCGAAAGCUUCGUGGAUCGGGCCGCUAGCUCCAGUUUUUCAGACGAGUGGCACGCUCACGUGUGCACGUACGAGUACAGCGAGCAGCGGCUGGAAUUUUGCAAUUCCUUCGGUUGGGUUGGGUGGUUUUGUGCGGGAUCGGCAAUGGCGACAACUGGAUGAGAGCGGUUUAUGUUGGCUUUGUGGGAACUGCUCUCAAGUGCAUUACAUUCAUCUUCUAAAGUAGCUAACCCAUCUUUGUGCUGGCUAAUUUUCAAGUACUUCACAGCCAACCACCUUGCUGAUGGUGAUUUCGCAGAGUUUGAACUUGAAAUUUCAAACUUGGAAAAAAAUACACGAAGAUCAUAUAUAUGAUUGUUUCCAGAAUAUCAUGCAGUUAUCUCGUCCUCAAAUGAACCAUUUUUUACAAAAAAGGACUUUAUCCUACAAUUACUACCAACUUAAAAAAAGGACUUCAUGUUACUAUUAUUAAUUGGAGGGUGGACACUCUAGAAAAACAAAGAAAUCUUAGAAAUUCUCACAAAAAGUCAAAAUAUCUAGCCAUCAAUCAGUAUGCUCAAAUCAUCAUAGCCAUUGGAUCUAUUUAUGUUUUCUAAAAAAUUACCCAUGUAUGCCAUUAUGAAAAUAGCCUAAAGUAACCCCCUAAAUCCAUGUAUAAAUUACCCACCUCUUCCAUCAUAUAAAAUAAACUAAAUAACCCCCUAAGCUUCAUUUAAAUUACCCACUUAUACCAUUAUAAACAAUGUUUCAAAUAACCCCCUAAAUUUUCAACUAAAUUGCCCACCACUAAUACUUAAAAAAUAACUUAGAGUAACCCUUAAAUUUGCAUGUAUAUUACUCACAUAUGACAUUAUUAAAAAUAACAUGAGGUAACCCUACUUUUGAAUCCAAAUCACCUUAAUUAAAAAUAUAUACCAAAUAUAUGAUUCUAAAUCAUUUAUUUCUUACACUUUGGUAUAUGAUAUAAUAAUUAAGGUAACCCUACUUUCGAAUCCAAAUCACCUUAAUUGAAAUAUAUACCAAUAUAUGAUUCUAACUCAUUUAGUUUUUAUGCUAUUGAUAUAUGAUAUAAUAAUUAAGGUAUAUACAUGUGAUGUGUGUGACCAUUUAUGAAGAUAUAGAGGAAAUGAUGAGAAUAUAGAUUUAUAUGUUAAAUUUGCAACUAAAUUUCCCACCACUAAUAGUGAAAAAAUAACUUAAAAAUAAAUUAAAGUGACCCCUUAAAUUUGCAUCUAUAUUACCCACAUAUGUCAUUAUUAAAAAAUAACAUGAGGUAACCCUACUUUUGAAUCCAAAUCACCUUAAUUACAAAUAUAUACUAAUAUAUGAUUCUAAAUUAUUUAUUUUUUACACUAUUGAUAUAUGAUAUAAUAAUUAAGGUAUAUACGCAUGAUGUGUGUCACCAUUUAUAUAAAUAUAGAGGAAGUGAUGACAACUUAUGGUCGGUAUGUGUCAUCGGUACGCGGUUGAGUUAACAUUAUGGCUUAAACUUAUGAUCCAUAGAUAAAUUCAAGCACAUACCGACGAUGCAAAUUGAAAAGUUAAUAAUUAUAAAUGUGGAUGAAAUAUUAUAGAGUAAUUACUAACUAAAAUCUAUCACAAUUAGAUGAAGAUAAUAAGUAUAUAUCUAUAUAAGCAUUGUGUUAGGAUAUUUAACAAAUGAGAGGUAGCUUAAGGUAAUAGUUUCGUAACAAUGGGGCUACAUUUUUUCCAUUGGAGAUUCCGCAUUAGUUCUCACGAGACACGCUAGGAAAAAAUCCUAGAAAUUCUCACUAAAAUCAAAAACAUCAAACAUCAAUCGUGUAAACUCUAAUAAUCAUAGUCAUUGGUCUAUAAUAUUUUAUAAAAGGUUACCUACCAAACAUAUUCUAAAAUAAACUCUAAUCCUAUAUCUAAAUUAUCGAGCUCUGUAAUUAUUAAAAACUAAUCUUAAGUAACCCCAUAAUCUUCAUCCAAUUUACUUAUGCAUAUCAUGAUAAAGUAUAACUUAAAAUGUUACUCUAAAUUUGUAUCUAAGUUACCCACGUAUGUUCUUAUUAAAAUAACCUAAAGUAAAUACCUAAAUCUUAAUCUAAUUAUCUUCAUGUGCAUCAUUCAAAAAAGUCCAAAAGUAAACAUGAUGAGUGUCAUUGUUAAUAUAGAAAUAUUAAGUUAAGGUAUAUACGCACGAUGAGUGUCACCAUGUAGACAAUCUUUACAUGUAUGUGGAGAUGCGAUACAAAAUGAACAAAAAAGUGUGAAUGUAGAUAAAAAGUGUAUAGAGUAAUUAAUAAUUAAAAAUAAUGAUAAGACAAAGAUAAGUAUACAUGUAUAUAAGAGUUAUGUUGAAAUAUUGAAAAAACUAAGAGAGUAGUAGGUAAACAAUUUCGAUUAUUAAUUAGGAGCUCAAUUUUUAAAUAAUUUUCAAAUAUGAUAAUUUUUUUAAAAUAUUAUCCCGUGCAGGAGCACGGGUUGAUGGACUAGGACAACUAAGGCUGAUCACUAGAUAUUUCUCCAAUUGAAACGGUGUUCAACAUCUGCAAAACCCUGCAAAGCACGGCAUUGUACAGACUAUUUUUAUCCAGAUUGGAUACAAAUUGACUUGACCAGCUCGCUACCCUAUCAAAGAUAACCUAUGAACGAAUCAUGCACACACACAUACAUUCUGGAAGCGCCAUCAUCACAAAGGUCCAAAUCGGAUCUGGAAUCGAAAAUCCAGCACCGUAGACCAUUCCUCGAGCUGAAUUUUAUCAUCAUCGAAACCACACGAGACGUCGCACAUCAGCCUGGAAUAUCUCUGUCCGGUUCUGAUGAAAAGUACUUUGGGAUUCGAGGCUGGACACGCCGCUACAAUCUUUGUCCAGCUCAGACGGCGACGCCGGCGCUGGGAGAGAAGAUGGAAACUGAAAAGUGGCAGUAACUGGCGAGUUUGACGGACUCAGGGUCUUCGCCCAACGGCGGUCAAGCUGAGAUAAGGUGUCUCAAUACGAGUGUGUGGAUGAUAACGGUGACGUAAAACUGCUUUUUAAACCCCUGGGGCCUCAGCCAGUUGAGCAUCCAGCUCAUAAUUCCAGUUCAAACACCCACUAGCAAGCAAAUAGAAGCAGAUUAGAAAGGCUGACGCACAGCAGAGGUACCAUACUCUCUCCCUCCCUUCCCUCCCUCCUGAUGGUUUUAACUAUCCUCUUUAUGCUGUUACCUUUUUAAGAUGGUUUUAGCUAGUUACUUGCUGCAACUCUGUAUGGUUUCUCAAAACUAGUACCCCUCCGUAGGUCAUUUUAAGUUUUUUUAUUUUUAUAGAUAUUAUCUAUGAAUUAUCUAUGAACAUAAAAAAUCAAAACCAUCUAUAAUUUGAAACGAAGGGAGUACUUCUUAGAAUUAGCUCUGGUUACAGCAUGAGCUUACGCUGCGUAAUUCAUCUAGUAGUACUUUAUACGCUGCCAAGUUUAUGCUUUAAUUUUGCAGGUGACAAUUAAUAUGCUCCUCAUGCGUCACUCGAUGUUGCUGGCGAAACUCGCCGUGCUUAUCGUAUUGCCUUUUUUGCUGCUGUGUUAUGGAGUUGGCAACGUUUACUGCUCGACAAUUCAUGAGAAUAGAGAAGAUCUGCGCUCAUUGCUCGACUUUAAGAAGCGGAUCAGUUCUGAUCCAAAUGGAGCCUUGAUGAGCAAUUGGACAACCAACACCCAUUUCUGCCAGUGGAAUGGUGUUAACUGCACUUCCACACCACCAUAUCGCGUCAGAGAGCUCAUCCUCACCGGGCUAAACUUGGGUGGCGAAAUAUCCUCCUCUCUUGGAAAUCUGACCUCCCUUAAUUAUCUUGAUCUAUCCAAUAAUAGCUUUCAUGGUCCCAUACCUCUUCUUAACAAACUCCAAAACCUAGAGUACCUUUUAUUAGGAAGCAACCUUUUGCAAGGUGUUAUUCCCGACGCACUUACAAAUUGUUCUAAUUUAGUUACACUAGAUCUCUCUGGAAACAACCUCAACGGUCUCAUUCCUCCUAGAAUAAGCUUUCUUACCAAACUAGCAUAUAUCAAACUUUACAGUAAUCAUGUCACUGGGGAGAUACCAGCAUCCCUCAGAAACAUCACAAAUUUACAACUAGUCCAUUUUUCAAAAAAUCAGCUCAAUGGUAGAAUUCCCGACGAGGUUAUGCAAAUGCCAAACUUAAUGGAGUUGCACCUAAACCAAAAUAACCUAUCAGGUAGUAUUCCUGAGGUUUGGCAAAUGCCAAAUAUAUUGGUAUUAGACCUAAGCGUAAAUAACCUUUCAGGUCGAAUCCCACGAGCUCUAUCUAAUGUAUCUUCUCUUCAGGGAUUGUCCUUGGCAUCAAAUAUGCUAGGCAGUACAUUACCAUCUAACAUUGGAGAUGCUCUACCGAAUCUCACGAUUCUAUACUUGGGUGAGAACUAUUUCGAGGGUCACAUUCCAGCUUCCCUAGGAAAUCCUCCAGGUCUAGGAGUCAUAGAUCUCUCAUCGAAUUAUUUUACCGGCCAAAUCCCAAAUUCUUUGGGAAACCUUUCACAGCUGUCUUCUCUUAACCUUGAUCAAAACAUGCUUCAAUCAACAGACAAUGAAGGUUGGGAAUUCAUCCAUGCCCUGGGAAAGUGUAGAUCUCUAAAAAAACUUUCAUUGUCUAUUAAUAGGCUACAGGGAGCCAUACCAAAUUCUAUUGUAAAC